AGGCUAUUAAUUAUAGGGGUUAUACUGUAGAAGGAUUGGUGGUGGCACAAAUAUAAUGAAGCAGAGGAUCUCAUCAUCUUCCCUUGUUAAGUUGGUUUGGUUGGAAUGAGUCUAAAAGAAGGAUUAACCAGCUGCUAUCUAUAGCCUGCUAGCUAGAUUGUUAAUAUUGAUAACAUUAAAGUGUUCUAUUGGAUUAUAAAUUGAAGAUUACAUAAUACCUAAACUACAUACCUUACAUCUAACACCCCCUCUCAAACUCAUGAUGGUAACGUGAGUUUGCCAAGCAAAAUCGAGAAGCAAUCCGAUCACUAAAUCCAUUUCGAAACACCAAUACCAAUACAAUUGUCGCACAAGUACCACCUCCUAAAAAGGGAGAAACAAAUGACCUACACGAAUUAUCGACUCCAAAUAGAAGGGGGGAAGACGCAAAUCGAACCACACAAACCAAUCCAAUGCCAUAACAAAACAAACCAAUUCAUUUCCAAUACCAAAUACCAAAUUGCCAUUUCGUCAGUUCAUCAAACACUUCACAUACCGCACAACAAUCAACGCAAACUACUACUGCAUUCAAAUGCAAACUGCUACUACUGCUACUGCUACAUGCCAAAUGCUAUACAACCAAUGCCGAGUUGCCACUCCCGACAUUUCAUCAAACACUUUCAAGGCUACUAUUACCAAUUACCCAUUACAAAACAGGAAGAAAAAAAAUGGUAAAAACACCUACAGACACCAAUACCAUCAACUUUCCAUUAACUAGCCUUAACUCCAAUUCCCACCAGAUUUACAUCGAACUACUACCACCACCAUAGUUACUAGUACUCACUACCACACCAGAUUCAAAUCGAACUACCAUCAUCACUGCCCACUGCGACCACCAAAACCUUCACCUAAUUGAAUGCAAACAUAACCAAUUGAUCUUCUACAGAACAUCAAAGAAAAGUUAUACCUUUAGCGGAAACACAACUCAAACGAACACAAUCCAAACUCAAAAAUCAAAAUACAUCACUUUUAACCAUAGGUGAAAAAAUCGUUUUAGUCCGGAUAUCCGAUCUCCAAAAAACCGGAUUAUUCCGCGAAUAUCCGACCUUCCAUGUCGGAUUUUUGAGGUUUGGUAAAUUCAAAUGUACCGGAAUUUUUCGUGGAUAUUCGCGAAUAUUCGCGAAAAAAUCGGAAAAUUGGGAGGUUUUCUGCACUUUUCGUGUUUUUCUUCCGAUUUCGAUAUAUAAACUUAUAAUUAAAAGAAAAACAUACAUUACAAAUUAAACACACGACAAAUCAUACAAGGAAGCUAAGACGGAACUAUUACACAAGAUAGUUUUACUCAUAGGUGAAAAAAUCGUAAAUAUCGGGCGGAUAUUCAUAGAACUUUUAUAUGUUUACAAUACAAGAACUAAACACAAACAACCUCAUUACAACUCAACCCAUAGUUUUAUUUUAAUAAUCAAAAUAAAAGACAUGCUAACCCCAGAAUGAUAGACGCCCCAUGUCAAACCGAUGAGCUUCGAGUCGCAUACGUGUGGGGACGAACUCAGUACAGUAAUAUUCCCAUGACAUUGUUUGCUCGUACGACCUGAAUUGGUCAAUAUGCAUAUCAUAUGCAUCUUGAUCCAUACAAUACGGAGCAAAUGAUUCAAAGAUAGGAAAUCUCGAGUAUUGUUGAACCGGCAUUAAUGUAUCGGCUGACUGCACGUCCGACCCACUUGUCAUUGGGGCCAACCAACUCCCUAUAUUAGGAAACCAAGAACCACUGUCAUCUAGUUGGGUUUGGUAGGAUGGUACACUGGAAUCAUCACUUUGGGAGGUUCCCAUGUUACCAUAAGAAAAAUGAGGGUAAACAUAGGUAGGUUGGAUGUUGGUUUGAGAAUAAGGGAGGUUCCACGAACCUUGGGAUUAAACGUCGCGAAAGUUUCCAAACGUCUAGUGCCUUUUGGACCUUUUUUUGAUAAUCUCAUCGAAAAUUCUAGUUCGGGGGGAUUAAAAAUAAAUGUGUUAAUUUUAUAAUCGAAAAUUUCAUAAAUUUCGAUAAAUAUCGGUUUUUGCCGAAUAUUUCGUGAAUAUCCGAUAAAUGCCGACCGGCAUGGGGUGUUUUAAAUUCCGUUUAUAUGCCGUAGCCGUACCGAUCCGAUCUCCAAAAAACCGGAAUAUUUCGUGAAUAUCCGGUCGGCAAAAACGAUUUUUUCACCUAUGCUUUUAACUAGGCCUGUAAAAAUAGCCCUUUGACCCUAAACCCGGCCCGGCCCGCCCAGCCCAUUCAACGAAAAAAGCCCUUAAAGCUUGACCCUUAUGAUUUUUAGGGUAGGGCCGGCCCGACCCUUUCCUUUUAAGGGUCGGGUUAGGGUUUAGCUUUGAAAAUCUUAGACCCUACCCUUAGCCCGACCCUAAUUAACCCUCUCAAAGCCCUCUUACGACCCUCAUAAAUAUAUGUAUAAUUUGUAAUAUAUUUCUCUAUAUAUCAAAAUUUGAACAUUUUUUUAGAGUUUUAAUCGUAAAGAUUUUUCCAAUUAGAGAUAGAUGUCACUUUUGUUUAUGUUAUAUGAUAUUUAUCAAAUGUUUAUCGAAUAUUUCCCGAACUAGUUCUUAAAAAACUAUUAUAUAACUAAAAGAAAUUGAUUCUCAAUAGAAUAUUUUUUUAUUAACCAUAUAUUUCAUUAUUUAGCAUGCAAUAAACGGUAAUUGGAUUAUUAUUUUAAAUGUGUAUUUUAUACUUAUUAUGUUAGAAUUUUAUAAAUUUAGGAUUAAAUUUCUAAAGUUUAAAAUUUUAGUAAUAAGAUAACAUCUAACUACGAGUUCUUUGUAUUUAUUAAUUGUAAUGCUCUUGGAUAAAAUAAUAUCAUAUACUAUAACAAAUUUUAUGGUGAAAAAAAUAUAUUUGUACAUUUAAGAAUUGAAACAUAUUAUACGUAUUUUCAAAAAUGUUAAAAUGAUAUUAAUAAAAACAUGAUCGCAUAUUUUUUUUUCAAGUAAAACAUAAUUCUAUGUAUCGACCCUAUCAAUCGGGCCCGUUAGCCCGACCCUCAACCCUUUAAAAUAAAGGGCUAAGGGUCGGGUGAGGUUUUUACAAUUUUUGUGUUGGCCCGCCCUAACCCGACCCUCAUCAUCUUUUAGGGUAGGGUUGGCCCGACCCUUAAAGUGUGAGGGCUCAAGGGUUCAAGGGCAGGGCUAGCCCUACCCAGCCCAUUUUACAGGCCUACUUUUAACAUUAACUAUAUACUAAAACCUGCUGUUGGAAAUGCUUUUAAGUGAAAUAAAUAAAGAGAUUUUUGGACAUACCCCCGAUUUGAAAGUCGAAAUUGAGANNNNNNNNNNNNNNNNNNNNNNNNNNNNNNNNNNNNNNNNNNNNNNNNNNNNNNNNNNNNNNNNNNNNNNNNNNNNNNNNNNNNNNNNNNNNNNNNNNNNNNNNNNNNNNNNNNNNNNNNNNNNNNNNNNNNNNNNNNNNNNNNNNNNNNNNNNNNNNNNNNNNNNNNNNNNNNNNNNNNNNNNNNNNNNNNNNNNNNNNNNNNNNNNNNNNNNNNNNNNNNNNNNNNNNNNNNNNNNNNNNNNNNNNNNNNNNNNNNNNNNNNNNNNNNNNNNNNNNNNNNNNNNNNNNNNNNNNNNNNNNNNNNNNNNNNNNNNNNNNNNNNNNNNNNNNNNNNNNNNNNNNNNNNNNNNNNNNNNNNNNNNNNNNNNNNNNNNNNNNNNNNNNNNNNNNNNNNNNNNNNNNNNNNNNNNNNNNNNNNNNNNNNNNNNNNNNNNNNNNNNNNNNNNNNNNNNNNNNNNNNNNNNNNNNNNNNNNNNNNNNNNNNNNNNNNNNNNNNNNNNNNNNNNNNNNNNNNNNNNNNNNNNNNNNNNNNNNNNNNNNNNNNNNNNNNNNNNNNNNNNNNNNNNNNNNNNNNNNNNNNNNNNNNNNNNNNNNNNNNNNNNNNNNNNNNNNNNNNNNNNNNNNNNNNNNNNNNNNNNNNNNNNNNNNNNNNNNNNNNNNNNNNNNNNNNNNNNNNNNNNNNNNNNNNNNNNNNNNNNNNNNNNNNNNNNNNNNNNNNNNNNNNNNNNNNNNNNNNNNNNNNNNNNNNNNNNNNNNNNNNNNNNNNNNNNNNNNNNNNNNNNNNNNNNNNNNNNNNNNNNNNNNNNNNNNNNNNNNNNNNNNNNNNNNNNNNNNNNNNNNNNNNNNNNNNNNNNNNNNNNNNNNNNNNNNNNNNNNNNNNNNNNNNNNNNNNNNNNNNNNNNNNNNNNNNNNNNNNNNNNNNNNNNNNNNNNNNNNNNNNNNNNNNNNNNNNNNNNNNNNNNNNNNNNNNNNNNNNNNNNNNNNNNNNNNNNNNNNNNNNNNNNNNNNNNNNNNNNNNNNNNNNNNNNNNNNNNNNNNNNNNNNNNNNNNNNNNNNNNNNNNNNNNNNNNNNNNNNNNNNNNNNNNNNNNNNNNNNNNNNNNNNNNNNNNNNNNNNNNNNNNNNNNNNNNNNNNNNNNNNNNNNNNNNNNNNNNNNNNNNNNNNNNNNNNNNNNNNNNNNNNNNNNNNNNNNNNNNNNNNNNNNNNNNNNNNNNNNNNNNNNNNNNNNNNNNNNNNNNNNNNNNNNNNNNNNNNNNNNNNNNNNNNNNNNNNNNNNNNNNNNNNNNNNNNNNNNNNNNNNNNNNNNNNNNNNNNNNNNNNNNNNNNNNNNNNNNNNNNNNNNNNNNNNNNNNNNNNNNNNNNNNNNNNNNNNNNNNNNNNNNNNNNNNNNNNNNNNNNNNNNNNNNNNNNNNNNNNNNNNNNNNNNNNNNNNNNNNNNNNNNNNNNNNNNNNNNNNNNNNNNNNNNNNNNNNNNNNNNNNNNNNNNNNNNNNNNNNNNNNNNNNNNNNNNNNNNNNNNNNNNNNNNNNNNNNNNNNNNNNNNNNNNNNNNNNNNNNNNNNNNNNNNNNNNNNNNNNNNNNNNNNNNNNNNNNNNNNNNNNNNNNNNNNNNNNNNNNNNNNNNNNNNNNNNNNNNNNNNNNNNNNNNNNNNNNNNNNNNNNNNNNNNNNNNNNNNNNNNNNNNNNNNNNNNNNNNNNNNNNNNNNNNNNNNNNNNNNNNNNNNNGGGGGGUAUUCCAAAAAAUAGUUCGAAGGGGGGGGUUCUAAAUUUUCGCUUUUCAAUGGGGGGGGGGGGGGGGGAGGGGGUAUGUCCAAAAAUCUCAUAAAUAAAAGAGGUCAAGAUUAUUAAUUACUCAUGUCUUAUUAGCUUAGUGCCAAACAAAAUUACAUCACUAUAGCAACAUGAAAUAAAUAUAUAGAAAUUGAGAUUCGUUCGAUGCAUGGUAUCAUAUACACUUCAAAAGUUCAAACACAAUAUAUUUUAUAAUACAAUUAGAUAUAUGAUUAUGACAAUUAGAUAUAUGAUUAUGGAGCUGAAAGCCUGAAUGUAUACUUUGACCAGGUGGGUGUAAAACCUAUUUAGCAGGUAAUAUGGGUGUAAAACUUGUUUACCAGGUUAAUAUGGGUGUGUUUAAUUUUUUUUAUGAGGGGUGUGCCAAAAGUGAAAAAGGGUGUGCCUUUAGCCUUAGCCGUUUUUUUUUUUUUUUUGGGAAACUUUUUGGAUUUUAUUUAUUUCUAAAUAAAGAGUACAUUACAUGGAAAUACAAAGUGCUCACAAAAUGGGGCAUCAUGGGUUCCAAAUAAGACAACCUUGUACAAGGUACAACAGUGUACCCAAACUCUUAGCUUGCAAUAUAUGGCAGUGAUUGGCAGGUGAGAGGGUCAACUUCUAGGGACUCAACAUUGUUUGAAACAGUAAAAAGCCUGUGGGGGCUAGGUUUAGAUAACCAAUUAAUCCUUCAUUUCUUCUUUCUUCUCGAGACCAUCUUUCAUUUCUUGCAAUCAGUUGGUCAUGGCUACCCCUCAUUUGUCAGAAAGGGUGUCUUCCGCCAUUUUAAGGUCACUCUGCGCAGAAAGGCAUAAAGAGCAUGGUGGUAAGGUUGUGGAGUGUUUAAUGGCCCAGGAGGUGGUGACAUCAGAAGGUAGGAGGUUAAGGUUUGCAGAGGUGGUUGAUGAUGCAGGGUUUGUGUCUAGAGGGAUGUUUGAUGAUUUCUUCACCAGGUAUCCAUUUAAGGUUACUCGCACUGGGUGGAGGCAAUUUGAAUCAUAGCUGACUAAAGGGACAAGGAUAAUUUCCUUUAGAAACUACGAAAUCAAAUAUUGUCAUUGACUAAGCCCAUUAAAACCCAUAAUAAAUCUAUGUGGACAUUGUUCUUUCACCCAUUUGGACUGCUAGCAAGAUUGCCCCUCUCAUUGUCAUUGUGUUUUCUUGGCUAUUGAUUAUAGUUGUGUUGUAAACCCACUAAAAAGCCUAUAUCCAAUUGGGUUUAGUUUCCAAAUUUAGAAACUAUCAAGUUAAAUAUUGUUGUUGACUAGCCCAUUAAAGCCCAUAAUAAACCAAUCUGGGUUUUUACAUAAGUUUAUUUACUAAGUUUCUAAAUUUAAAAACUAAAGGCCGUAAGUAAGGUGGUUUCCAAGUUUAGAAAUCAAGGUAGCUUCAAACCUACGAAGUUGGAAGUCGAACUGGUUUCGGAACUACUAACAUAUGUAUAAAUAAUCAAAGUACCAAACAACAAUCACAAAUAGAAAUUGCUUUUACUUUCUUCUUCUUGCUUGCUUACUUGCUUGUUUUUGUUAAUUUGGGUGAUUUGAUUGUUCUGCAUUCUUCAACAUUAUUGUUUUAUUUAAUUCUGUUCAUUGAUCAUGGCUGGUUCCAAUUUGGAUUUUUGGCGGGGUUUUUUCAAACAAGAAGGGAUUGGUUUUGAUCUCUUCCAAGUUAUCAAUUGGGGUAUAACUGUUGUUGCUGCUGAUCGACCUGAAGAAUUGAAAAAACAUAGAGAUCAAGUCAUGGAAAAAUUAUUUGCAGCAAAGAAUAAGAGUUCUGAGAAUUUCAAUGCUGAAAAGAAAAAUAACAACAAAGCUGGUUCUAAUAAGAAGAAUCAAGUUGUUCGAACAAUUCCCAUACCUAAAAGUUUGAUUUUUCCCAAACAAGAGAAAAAUUUGGUGGGAACCCAAGAUGAUGAAAAAGCUAGAUUGGCUGUUAAGAAAGCUGUUGAUUUAGGUUUGUUAGAAGAAGGUGAAGAAGCAAUUAAGUUGAGAAUUGAAACUUCAAAGAGAAAGCUUCGUGAAGGGUAUCAACAAGCAGCAAAAAGGCAACAUCUUGUUAAAGUAUUAAGGAUGAAUGAAGUACCUAAUGGUGGAAUUUGUUGCUCUUAGAUGCUGCUCAUCCCAAUUUCUGACAUUAAAUUCAAGUUUAAAGGUAACAACUCAUGGAUUUGUUUCUGCACAUUAGCGUUGUUGAUGCGUGUUAUUAGUAUAAUCUUCUAAUGUGGUCUCCUUGUUAUUUUGUUGAAUUUUAUUACUAAUAAAAGUUUUUAAUUUCCAAUAAGCAAAUUGGGUAAAUUCUCAUUUAUCAAACCUGAUAACAUGUGAUGACUUUUGGCUAAUGUUGUUGAUGCGAGUUAUUAGUAAUCUGUUUGUAUAAUCUUCUAAUGUGUCUCCUUGUUAUUUUGUUGAAUUUUAUUACUAAUAAAAGUUUUAAUUUCCACUAAGCAAAUUGGGUAAAUUCUUAUUUAUCAAACCUGAUAACAUGUGAUGAUUUUUGCCUAAUGUUGGGAGUAGUUUUAUGUUUAGUUUUGUGUGAUUUUUCAGAUCUUAUGCACAAGGUUUAAGUUUACAGUAGAGCAUAAUAAGAAACUUGUAUAUCAUAAUUGUUAUAGUAGAGCAAAAUAAGAAACACUCAUUCCAUUGAUGUUAUCACUAGACCUGUCAUGAAAAAGCUAUUAUAAAACAAUGGUUAUAUUUUUUUGCGAAGCAUGAUGCUCGAAUAAUUAUUAUAUUUUUGCUAAACGGGUACGAUGCUGACCGGUGUAAUUGGUUAAGCCCCUGUAACUAGUUUUGUUAAGGCCUACUAAUAACAUAAUCAUUGAAGUUAAAAAAUUUCCUGUUUUUCACAAUGUAAAGCCAUGUACCAAAUGUUGAGUCACAAGGUACCUCCCAACAAACAACAGAAGCGUCUAACCAACCAUGUGUAUGAAAGUGAUGCAAACAAACCAAUGUAAGUAGUAAAGCAAUUAAACCUACUUACCAACAACCAAACGUAAAGAGAGACACCAAUUUUAACGUGGUUCGGCGAUUGCCUACGUCCACCAACCAAAGAGGAGAGCUUCUUAUUAACAAAUCAACAAAGAUACAAAGUAUCUAAUCAAUAGAGAAAAUCUCCCAACAAAUCUCUCACUCACCAAACAAAUCUCUCUCUACCAAUAAUCCUCACAACUCUCAUAUGGAGACCAAUAAACAAUUGAGGAUGAUCCUCACCUCACAACUCUCUCAAAGAGACACACAACGAUUGAGGAUUUAGGAUGAGGAUGAGGAUACUAAACCAAUCCCUAAGACCUUAUAUUUAUAGCCUUUUCGGGUGUACAAAACAAAUUCCUAAAAGGAAUACCAAACUUAAUCAAAUUGGAAGUCGUAUUCCAAUACCAAAUUCUAAAUCCUUAAUAUGGACUUAGAAAUCCAAAUAUGAAACGGAUUCCUUAUAGAACCAGUUUCCCAACACCAAACUAUUAUUCCAACUGUCUACAGUUAUAUUGAAACCUAUAAUCAUCUAAUAAUCUACUAAACUUUGUUGACUUGAUUGGGCUGUCUUUACGAAGUUCACAAAGAUCCAUUGCAUCGUGGUAGCAUCCUGUUUGUUGAUAAGUUUUUUUUCUCCCAAUCGAAGUUGUAUUUUUAUAGUAGUCUUGGUGCAGAUGUCUACCUUUCUCGGACUGUGAAGCUAGAUGGGCGUGGAUGGACACUUUAUUAGUCAUGUAUCGCCUGUACAAUCCAAUAUUGAAUGUGGUCUCAGAAGACACUCAUACUUGGGAUGUUUGGUCUUAAGGUAUAUAAAGUUCUACUAGUCACAACCAUGUGAAAGUAUUUAAAGAUUUUGUUUCUUAGUUUGAAUAGAAAAUUUUCUUUACUCCCAUUUUUUUCAUGUGUUGAUGACUACAUCUUAGAAGAUAUUGUAGUUCUUUCACAUAACUUGCUGGUUAUGUCAGGACUGUUUGGGUGGGUUAGUAUAAUCUUCACUUCCAUUUCCUAUCUAAUUGAACGCAUAAACUAUUUAUGACACAGCUAGGGUGGUCAACCGGUAUCACUUUCAUUUUUUUUUUCUGUGUAUGCACACACUAGGCACAUUACGAUGUAACUACUAUUCAUUAUUUCAUUACUAAUAUGCAACCAUGUCAUUUUUGAAGUAUACCCACAAACCAAACAACAAAACUGCAGUCUCUUAGUAUUUACUGUACGUACUUCUCAAACAAGUGAUCUGUUUGUUCAAUUAUUUUUUCUUAAACAUUCAUCUGUUCUGUAGGAGAGGUCUAAAUGGAUGAAAAUCAGCUCACUUAAGGAGCAAGAUGGCAUGGUUACACUAGCUACUAGCAUGGAUUCUCUAAGUUCUUCAGUAUGUAUUUUCUUGUCCUUUUCUUCCUUGUGCAUUCUCAUAAUUUUGGAAGUUUCAUUUAUUGAUGUUAUUCUAUUGUAGAAUAUGAAACAUUGAGUGCAUUUCUUACCUAUCAAUCAGCACGUAAUGUUGUGUAACUACUAUUCAUUAUUUCAUUAAGCUUGCCCAGAAUCUCCAUUUUUGGAAGAAUCAUUUUCUCUCUUUGUCAUGGUCGGAGGAGGCAGAGUCCAUGUCCACAUCCCAAAGUGCUCAUUUCUCCUUGUUAAUCGAUGGAAUAGUUCAAGCCCCCUCGUAUUAACCUAUUUCUAGAUUAAUGCAUUAACUGAGUCAGGUCGCUAGGGAGACUUAACCAAAUGGGGAUGUUUGAGAUCGGGGUGGCUGCACCUCGUUUGAGAUCGAGAUUGCCUACGUACUCUAGCUCGGGGGAAUUGAACUUAGAGAUCAAACCAUCGUAGUUCUGUUCUUAUAGAAGGUAGAAGGGCGUGGAUCGUGGAUCUUGCAGAUUCUCCGUCAUCAUAAUGAGGAUUUAAUGUGUAACGCGCGUGGAUCAUCCCUGUGAAUUAAUUAUGUAACUGAUGAGAAUAUUCUGUGCAUUGAAUGAGGGCGCGCGUGUGUAAGCAGCCCGCUGCUCGUUAUGAGGUCGAGCUGUUGUGGACGAGCUACUAGCAGGUAGAGAGCGUGGCGACCUGGUGGAUGAGUGACUGUGCCACGUGGCUGCUUUUGAUUGGUUGGAGUAUGUAGUACCCCUACAUAAGCCCCCUCUUUUUAGGUCGGCUGUAUAAGUCGGGCUGAAAAGACUAAUUACUCUGAUCGAUGCUGAUUUAUAGUUUGCUUUUGAAUUUGCUGACGUGGCAGUCAUGCAGGCUUGUCUGUACUAAUCAUGGCGUUCUUACGGGGAAGUGGGAGAUUUUCCUCGAGCAGUUAGCUGCGCAGUUAUGGCAACUGGCGCACGUCUUGCCUGAUAUAGUCAUUGCGUGACACGUGGGUUGAUCCGACGGUGGAUGUGAAUCUUUUAUGUAGUGGAAAAUAACUGCAAUGGAAGUGGAUCGUUUGUUCGAUCUCAGUCGUUCACCUUUUCCGAACUGAUGGCUGGGAUUGCACGAGCUGUAGUAUUUAAACUGUAGCUUUGUUGAGAAGGGGUUUACCUAUUCUGACUUCAUUUGAAUUGCUGCCGCUUUACUCUUGCGAUCUGAAGAACUUUGAGAGCUCGUGAGGUUAGUCUUCUUCUCUUUUUCCUUCAUCUUCUGUUUUCAUUUCUGUUGUUUGAGAGAAAUGUCUGAUUUGAGUGACUCUCAAAAUGAUAACCUGAGUGGUGGUGGUGGUGAGGAAUAUGAGUCUGAGAGGACUCAUUCUGAACCUUUGUCGCCCGUUCGUGGUGUAGACCCUGAUAGCCCCCAGAGUAGUGGUUCUCACGGGGCUGAUUCGUCUGACGAGGAGAUGGUGGGAGGAGACGAUGGUUCGAUGUGUAGAGUAGUGAACUUUAAGUACGUAAAUAGGCACAUUACAUUUAGAAAGCAGUAUGGUCUUAGCUCCAUUGAUCAUUUGGAGAUUAGAUUUUUAGGAGAUCGUUUACUUUCUGCUGAGUAUCGACCUAAAAAUCCUUUUUUGACUGUUUUUACCUUGACCCAAUUCCGAGCUGGGCUGAGGCUGCCAUUGUCUUCUUUGGUGGUCGACCUGUUGAAUGCUAUUGGUCGAGCCCCCUGCCAGAUGAAUGGCAAUUUCUGGAGGAACAUGAGGGUAAUUGAAGACCUCAACAAGUUGCAUAGGUGGAACGUCACUGUGAAGGAUGUGUUGGAUCACUUCUGCUUCAAACGUUCCUCCAAGGCUGACUUUUUCGGCUACAAUAUGCAAGUUAGGCCAGAACGUUUGCCUUUCAUCUAUCCUGUAAGUAGUGAGCCAUGGUGGAAAGAUCCCAUGCUGAUUACUGGGUCGAUCAUUGAGGGGAGCAUCCAGUUGCGUCAUGUGACUAGGAAUGACGCUCGUAAGUUUCUGGUCGUUAGUCUUAGGAGAUUUUCCUUUUUAUGUGCCUGAUUAUGUUCUAUCUUUUUGCAGCGAUCAGGGACGAUCAUCUUGUGAGGAAGAACGAUCUGAGAUCCGCCUUGAACGGUUUUGGUUACUGGACUGACGAGCGUAAGAUAAAUUUCUUACCCCACCUGAAGGAGCACUUUAUUCCUAUAGGUGGUCCGAAAACAGUUGCAGAAGAGCUUCAGAGGAGAAAGUCUCUGAGGAAGGCACAUAUGUCUGUUGUUCAUAAAGCUGAGUCUGGGCGUUCUGGUGGCAGCUUGCGGGCUGGUGAGAAGGAGCGAGCUGGUGGUAGCUCGAGGCCUGCUGAAAGAGAGCGAGUUGAUGGUAGCUCGAGGCCUGAGGAGAGAGAACGGUCUGGAAGCACUGCUCGGAGGUCGGAUAAGGAACGAUUUGGUGCUAGUUCGCGCAGGGGGGAGGUAGUGGCGAGCCCCCCAGUCGUAUCCCCUCCGGACUCACUCUUUAAAUUGCCUGUCGCGGUCGGGAAGAAGAGGUCGCUUUCGGGGAACCUGAAGUUGGUGGAGCCCCCACUUAUGCCUUCCUCUGCUCCUCCAAAGUCUGUAAAAUCUCCUGAGAUGUCUGUUGUGUCCAGGAAGACUGCUGUUCGGCCCUUGGAGAAAGGCAAGGGUGUGUCGUCUGAGUUUCGCCCUGGGCCGUUCGACUAUUUGGAUGGCCGUGGUGAGAGGCAUGUCGUAUAUAAUAACGACAGUGCUAUUGACGACCCCUGCGUCGCCCGGGCUGUGAAUGAGGGCAUUGUUCUGGAAGCUGAUGCUCGAGCUGUGAAGUCUCAGCCUUUGUUGGUCACCUGCUCGAAGUUAAAUGCGGCGCUGGCUUUGGUGAGUGUUGCCAUAAUUAUUAUUUUCUUUGUUUCUGCUUAGUCUUCGUUUCCUAAUUGUGCUUGCACUUGCAGGUUAAUGCGAGCUUCCAGGAAAUUCGUCUGGUCGCUGAAGUUGGUGCCCGAGCUGAGGUUGAGCUGAACGAGAUGAACGAGAAGCUUGAACAGGCCAAGAACGUUGCUCUUGUUGCAGAGUGCAGGGUGAGGGAUAGGGAUGCGCAGGUCGCGGCUUUGAAGGAGACGGUGGAGCAGCUGAAGGAGACGGUGGAGCAGUUGAAAGAAGAUUCUGAUGCUGCUAAGGCUUCUGCUGACUACUGGGAGCACGCAUGCCAAGAGAAUGGGGCAGCGUGGAAGGCCUACUGCGACAGCCUGAAGGAAGCUUUGAUGGGGUCGCCCGAAGGAGAGGAGACGCGAGGUGGUGCUGAAGGAACUUUGGUGCCAGCUCAGGACACCUUGAUGGGCCCUAAUGAACAGGUCGCUGGAGUCCUUAUUGAAGUUGAUGCUUCAGGCGACCAGUUUACGCAGCAGUAAGCUAGCCUUUGCGUCCCUUUUCUUGUAUUGGGUAACCUUGUGCAAAGUUUGCUCCUUGCACUCCUUGUUCUUGCAGUACGUCUUCUUUGCCUUCCUCGAAGCAAUCUUUUGAGUUUGUUGGAGUUGUAUUAAACAGCAUUGAAUUUGAUGAGCUUGUACUUAAGCCGUUCUGAUCAGCUAGUUUCCAGGGAGUCCUGGUAGCUCGUUCAGAAGGCAGGUAGACGAGAUGAAUGGCUGCAAGCAGGACGAAUUGAAACAGUUCUUCUUGUAUGCCUUAGUUUGACUUUAUUUUUACCUGUAAUUGUUAGAAUCUCCUUAAGUAAAAAGAAAAUUCAAUGAUUUACCUUUUAUUUUCAUUCUUACUACGUUGUCUGCUUGUAUGAGUUUUGCAAACAAGUAGUAACCAUAGUGCUGGACCUGCUCGUGGAUGAGGUCGUGUGCAUGGUUGCUUGAUUGUACAGAGGUCGUGGGAAUGAUAUGACCAAUGCACCAAGUUAAGUUGCAGAUGUUUGAACUUAACAAAUUAAAAUCAUCAAAGGGACUAGAUUUUUGAUAAUUUGUAGGUCGAGGGAGUAGACCUUUAGGAGCCAUUCAUGUUUGAGCUGAGAUGAAGGCAACAAUGUGUUUGUAUAUUGAAAUGUAAUGAAUGGAUGCUUACAUUUCAUUGAUAAAACAUUUUCAAGUGAUAAGCAUUCCAUGGGUUCUUAACGAUCUCUCCUUCUGGUGUUUGAAGACGAUAAGAACCGUUGCUUUGAACCUUGGUGAUAAUGUAAGGUCCUUCCCAGUUGGCAUUGAGUUUGCCAAUGAUAUCUUUCCUCUUGUUGCUGAACAUUUUCCUUAGGACCAGUUCUCCUGGUUGAAAAGAUCUAGGUCGUACGCCUUUGUUAUAAGCUCGUUUGAGUCUCUGUUGGUAUUGUUCGAGUUUUAUAACGGCGUGAUUCCGUCGUUCUUCGAGGAGAUCGAUUCCGAACGACCAGACCUGAUCGUUAAGUUCUGUGUCGACCAGAAGGGAUUUGGUCGUUCCAAAUGUUAACUCUGUGGGAAUAACGGCCUCAACUCCAUAGCAAAGGCUGAAUGGAGACAUCCCUGUUGAUGUGCGAGGGGUUGUUCUGUAAGCCCAUAAGAUGUUUUCCAACUGCUGUGGCCAUUGAUCGUGCUGAUCUUCAAGCUUUUUCUUCAGGUUGUUUAGAAUUUGUCGGUUUGCGGCUUCGACCUGGUCGUUAGCUUGUGGAUAUCUAGGCGUUGACCUUGAAUGCUCGAUUUUCCAUAGGUUGUAGAAAGCCUUGAUGUUUUUGCCAACGAACUGAGUGCCGUUGUCUGUAACUAUCCGUUUUGGUAGGCCAAACCUUGUGAUGAUGUUUUCCCACAUGAAUCUCUGCACAUCUGCUUGAGUGACGUUGGUUAGUGCCACAGCUUCCACCCAUUUAGUGAAAUAAUCGACGGCCACUAGAACGAAUCUCUUCUCUGACUUCUUCUCUUUGAUUAGGGGGCCCAUGAUAUCAAGCCCCCACAUGUGGAAUGGCCAUGGUGUAGUGACGUUGAUGAGAUCAUUGGGAUGCUGAUGUUGCUUAUCAGCGAUUAUUUGGCAUUCAAUACAUUUCAGAACGAAUUUCUUAGCAUCUUCCUUCAUUCUUGGCCAGAAGUACCCUUGGGAGAUUGCUUUAUGGGCUAAGGUUCGCCCUCCGGAGUGGUUUCCACAUUCCCCUUCAUGGAUUUCUUGAAAUAUCAUCUGGCCCUGUUUGGGGAUUAGGCACCGUAACAACAAACCAGUUGCAGACUUUCUGAAAAGUUUACCCUCAUGGAGUUUGUACAUUGUGACUUUGUGUAACAGCUGACUGGCUUCCUUUUUGUUUGAUGGUAGGACACCAGUUUGAAGGUAAUUAAUGAAAGGCUCCAUCCAAGUCCCUUGGAUAUCUGCUGGAGUUGUCUCUAGUAGAUCAGAGAUUUGAUGAACAUUUUCUUCCCUGAAUAAAUAUGCGGGCUGUGUACUUAUUGCUAUAGUGAGAGCCCGUGGUCUGUCUGAUUCGAUCUUAGAUGCUAAGAAUGCCAAUGAAUCAGCAUGCCUGUUGUCAUCUCUUGGUAUGUGCUCGAUUGUAAAAUAACUGAGCUUGUUGAUGAGCUCUUUUGCUUUGCUAGCAAACCUGAUUAGGUUGACCCCAUUGAUCUGGUAAUUACUGGUAAUCUGAUUGACUACCAGUUGUGAAUCACUGUACACCUUCAAGCGAACUGCUUGUAGGUCGAUGGCCAUCUGUAAGCCUUGGAUGAGUGCUUCGUAUUCGGCCUCGUUGUUGGAGGUCGCGAAGUCGAGACGAGUUGAUCUUUCGAGCUGUGAACCUUCAGGAGAAAUUAAUACAGCACCUAUGCCACUUCCGUUUGAGUUGUGGGAGCCAUCUACAUAUAGCUGCCAUGUGUCAGGAGGGCUGUAUUGAACUUGCCUUGUUUCAAGUUCUGGUUCCCAAUUGGUAUCCUCUGCUGGGUAGUCUACCAAGAAAUCUGCGACGACCUGGCCCUUGACGGCCUGCCGUGAGACGAACUCGAAUGUGUAAUCACCCAGUUCGGCUGCCCAUCGAGCCAUACGACCUGUUUUGUUUUUCUUUUCCAGUAUAUGUCGUAAUGGCUGGUCGGUGAUUACUUUGACAGUAUGGGCUUGGAAAUAAGGUUUGAAUUUGCAUGCAGCGUAAAGUAAAGCCAAUGCUAACUUCUCUAGAGGUGUGUACCUUAUUUCGGCCUGCUGUAAGACUUUGCUUGUGAAAUAGAUAGGUCGCUCGACCUGGUUUUCUUCUUUGAAAAGUACUGCACUGAUCGCAAAAUCUGAUGUUGCGAGGUAAACGCCGAGUACAUCUCCAUCGUUGGGCCUUGUGAGGACUGGUGGAGUAGACAGAUAUGCCUUGAGAUCAUUGAAGGCCUUCUCGCAUUCUUUUGUCCACUCAUAUGUAGCCCCCUUCUUUAGGAUAUGAAGCAUUGGUCUGCACUUAUCUGAUGCUCUUGAGAUGAAUCUGUUCAGAGCUGACACCAUGCCGUUGAGUUUCUGGAUUUGUUUCUUUGUUUUCGGGCUUGGCAUGUCGAUCAGGGCUCUGAUCUGGUCGGGAUUUGCUUCAAUGCCCCGUCUGGUGACUAGGUAGCCGAGGAAUUUUCCUGAUGCAACCCCGAACAGACACUUCUCUGGAUUAAGACGCAUUCUGUAUUGUCUUAAUCUUUGGAAUGCUUGGUCGAGAUUGUACAAAUGAUCUUGUUCUUUGUCACUCUUUACUAGCAUGUCGUCAAUGUAGACUUCCAUUGUUCGACCUAGGAGGUCGUCGAACAUUCUGGUGACCAGUCUUUGAUAGGUCACUCCUGCAUUCCUUAACCCGAAUGGCAUAACCUUGUAACAGAAAAUACGUUGCUCUGUAGUAAAAGAGGUAUUUUCUUGGUCAGGCUCGUACAUUGGGAUCUGGUUAUACCCUGAGUAUGCGUCCAUGAAUGACAGUAGCUCAAAACCGCAUGUCUAAUCGACUAGCCUAUCGAUUCGUGGCAGUGGGAAUGAAUCUUUAGGACAAGCUUUGUUCAAACUUGUGAAGUCGAUGCAGACCCUUGUUUUCCCAUUCUUCUUUAAAACUGGUACGAUGUUGGCUAGCCAGUCUGGAGUGUCGACCUCCCUGAUGAAGUCGACCUGUUUAAGUCUGUUGAUCUCUUCAUUGACAGCUUCGUGAAACUUGGGAGCAAGCCUUCUUGGUUUUUGCUUUACAGGUCGAUAAUUGGGAUUGACCCGCAGUUUAUGACAUGCAAUUGAUGGAUCUAUUCCGGGCAUAUCGAUAUACGACCAAGCAAAAACAUCUUUAUUAGUUGAAAGGAAAUUUACAACUUUUUGAACUUAUCUUCUUCCAACUCAGCACCUACAUAGACAUAUCUCGGGUCCUCAUCUGACCCAAUAUUCACUCGCACACCUGGAUCAGUACUUCCGAGAUUAAGCUUGGGGGAGCUCGCUUGCUCCUUCUGUAGUUGCUAUUUGGCAGGUUCAGUCCUUUCUUUGGACGGGCUCUUUGACUUGUUGUUGCCCUCCUGAGCCUCUGUUGUGAUCGGGCUCUUUCCUUUGACUUCAACCUCCUUGGAUCCAGAGGUGGAUGGCUUUGACGAUGGAACAGCUUGAAUAAUGCCGUGGCAUUCCUGUGCGGUGUUCUGAUUGCCGCGAAGUUCCAUUAUCCAAUAAGGACCAGGAUAGCGGAAUACUUGAUGAUAUGUACACGGCACACCCCUCAUAGCAUGGAUCCACUUUCGACCCAGAAUCGCAUUGUACUUGCUUGCGAUAUUGAGGACGCUGAACUUGCUGGUUACAACGACCUUGUCUUCCUUUCUGCCCACAGUAACGGGCAAAAGAAUUUCACCCUUAGGGUCUUCCCUUGAACUAUUGAAGCCAAGGAUGGGUGUGAAAUCUGGGAUGAGAACUGAAUCAGGCAACCUCAUGUCUUUGAAGGUUCUGUACAUGAGGAUGUUGCAUGAUGCGCCAGGGUCUAUGAAUACCCUCUUGAUGGUGUAGUCUGCUAUUCGCAGUUCAACAACUAGGGCGUCGUUGUGAGGAGUAACGACCUUGUUGAGAUCGUCCUCGGUGAAGGUGAUGUCGGUCUCUUGGCGGGCAGGGAUGUUGAAACGAGCUGCUCGGCCAGUAAUGGAGUAGACAUGGUGUAGAUGCUCUACUCGUCUCUUCUUAUCUCGAGAGACAGGGGUGUGUUGAGAUUCGUCAAUCAUGUAAACUACAUGACUUUCCGAUUCGCUGUCGCUGUCUAUCUUGUGUGCGACCUUCUUGUUGAUGUGAUCGCGUAGGUCUCCUGUUGGACCUAAGCGUUGGGAGAGGCUACGCCCUCUGCUGCGGACUGGACUGAUGGAGGCCGUUCUGGCCUUGCUAUGAUGACGCUUUGGUGAGUGGGGAGGGGUUCUGGAUCCCUUCCUCGCCCUCUUGCCUGUAGAAUCCUCUUGUCUGCCGAGGAUCCAAUUGUUGAGCCUUUUCUCAUCGGCCCAAGUCUGAAGUGCGCGUUUCAGAACGCGACAGUCAUCUGUUUGAUGACACCGUACCUUGUGGACUUUGCAGUACGGCCGACCAGAUGUAUCCUCCAACUGUGUGAAGGUGGGAAUCUUGCACCAUUGGUUGUGCUUGAUUCUUUCGUAAAUAUAACCGGCUGGUCGUGUGAACCGGUGAUAUUCUCGCUGCUCAGUAGGCAACGACUUAGCUUUGAACCUCUUUCCAUUCGAUCGAGGUCGCUUGGUUGAGUCAGACUCGAUGUUGCUGACUACAUGGUUCUUUUCCCUCCCAGUGAGGGCUUCUUCCAGCUUUAUAUAACGGUCUACCUUCAGGUAGAGCUCGUCCAGUGAUGAAGGUCGCUUCAUGGCUAGCGACUUGUGGAGGUCGGACCCCUGGGUCAGACCGUGAGUGAAUGCGGUGGUUGCAAAGGUCUCGUGCUCCUUUGCAAAAUCCUGAAUGGAAUGCAAUUCAGAUUUAAAACGAGCAAAGAAUGUGCUCAGAGACUCACCAUCUUGCUGCUUGACUUUGAAGAUGGUAUCUAUAGUGACAGGGCGCUUCUUGUUGUGGAUGUAAAAGAUGACAAAUUGCUUUUUGAGCUCGACAAACGAGCUGAUGGAUCCUGGUUUCAAUCGGUGAAACCAGUCAAGAGCUGGUCCGGUGAGGCUGGACUGGAACAGCAAACACAACAGGUGAUCCUCUUUGAUCAGAGGAAGGGAUUUCCGGAAUCCCUUGAUGUGGUCGGUUGGAUCUCCGACUCCGGCAUACUGGUCGAACUUGGGGGCAUUCAGCUUGUUCGGCAAGUCAUGUUCAAGGAUCUCCUUGGAGAAAGGAGACUCCUGGAACUGUUGGAGGGACUGUACAGCAAGUUGCUCCGCAGUGUGGCUUUUAGAAUGGUGAAGGAGAGCCUGUGAGGCUUUGAACUCCGCCAGUUGUUGGCUGAGUUGUUCAUACUUCUGGUUGGAAUCGUCAGCAGGAACGACUCCAUGUCCGCUAUUUUCACCUUGUUGGGGAAUGGUUUGUGCGGCUUUCAGGCGUGCAUUUUCUUCCUGCAAAGGAGUGAUUUGAGCAUGCAGAUCAUUGAAAGUUAAUUCUGGGGUAGUCAUUUGAAUCGAUGACUUUGAGAAGGGUGGGAGGGUUGGGCUUUUCGAUUAUAUCGAAUUCCUUGCAGUCGGCGCCAAAUGUAUUAACCUAUUUCUAGAUUAAUGCAUUAACUGAGUCAGGUCGCUAGGGAGACUUAACCAAAUGGGGAUGUUUGAGAUCGGGGUGGCUGCACCUCGUUUGAGAUCGAGAUUGCCUACGUACUCUAGCUCGGGGGAAUUGAACUUAGAGAUCAAGCCAUCGUAGUUCUGUUCUUAUAGAAGGUAGAAGGGCGUGGAUCGUAGAUCUUGCAGAUUCUCCGUCAUCAUAAUGAGGAUUAAAUGUGUAACGCGCGUGGAUCAUCCCUGUGAAUUAAUUAUGUAACUGAUGAGAAUAUUCUGUGCAUUGAAUGAGGGCGCGCGUGUGUAAGCAGGCCGCUGCUCGUUAUGAGGUCGAGCUGUUGUGGACGAGCUACUAGCAGGUAGAGAGCGUGGCGACCUGGUGGAUGAGUGACUGUGCCACGUGGCUGCUUUUGAUUGGUUGGAGUAUGUAGUACACCUACACUCCUUAUAAUCAUUUUUCUAAUAAAACAUUUUUGGACCCCUCUGCUACUCUUGUUUUGAUCUUGUGAUACUCCACAUAUGCAACAACUGCAUGGAUAAAAUCAAGAACUGUAAAUGAGCCUGAAGAAGGUCAAGGGUCAAGAACUGUAAAUGAGCCUGAAGGUACUAAUGAGGUGUGCCUUGACAUUGUGAGGGUGGUAUCGCCAGCAAGGGUUCUAACACCUACAGAUAAUAUUGAAGUUGUGCCUGCGACCCCUUUAACUCAGGUGGGAGGGAAGGAGGAGCAGGUUUAUGUGAAGACUAACAAUGCUGGUGAAGACAGAACUCAGGACAUGCAAGGAGAGGCUGACAGUGUUUUACCUGUUCCAGCUUCCUCUUGCCAGCCAGACUUGUAACUUUGUGUGGAUCUUCGCAUUGAAAAGGAGGCUACUAAUGUUGUGAGGAUGGGUUGGGCGGAUAGAGUUGAAGAAGAGGAGCCAGAGAACCAGCAAACAUGGCAAACUCAGAAGACAAAAAAAGGCAAGCAUGGAUCUACCAAAGGGGACCCCCAAAACACUAGAUCCAGGGCCCAGGUAACUUUGUCAAAUAUUGCUCAAUGAAGACAAUGUUCUGGAACAUUAGAGGUGCAGCUAACACUGAUACCCUCUCUAGAUUAUUCUUAUUAAUAAAGAAGAAUAAAGUAGAUGUUAUUGGCAUUGCAAAGCCUAUGACAAAACCAAGUAGUGAUUUUGUUUUGAAGCUUGGAAUUCCAUUUCUGAAUCACACAUACCUGCAUAAUGAUUUGGUAGGAAGGAAAGGGAAUAUUUGGUUCUUUGGAGGCAUGGCAUGGCCAAGUCGGAUCAACAAUUAACUAUUGUUGUGGAUGGUAGCAUUAUUACUUUUGUACAUGCCAACUCUGUGGUAGCGUAUAGAAGACUGUUAUGGGGAGACCUUUUGGCUAUUAGCAAUCUUAAUUUACCGUGGCUUGUACAGGGUGACUUUAACAUUGUUCUUAGAUAGGAAGAAAAGAAAGGGGGUGUGGCCCUAAGUGCUAGUGCUGUGGCUGACUUUGCUGACUGGGUGGAUACUUGUUGUCUUUUUGAAAGUCCAUGGUCUGGCUCUUCAUUCACAUGGUGUAACAACCAAAUGGGAGUGAGAAGGAUUUAUAGUAAAAUUGACAGAGCUUUUUACAAUGACUUAUGGGAAAGUAGAUAUCAAGGGUGGAGGUACAAGGCAUUGAGCUGGUUGAAAUCUGAUCAUUCACCCCUCAUAGGGGGUCCUGAGCAUAUACCCAAACCACAAAAACCGCCAUUCCGUUUUAACAAAGCUUGGACUCACCAUGGAGAAUUUCUGAACUUGGUGAAAGGUAGUUGGGAUCAACCCCAAUGGGGUCUCCCCAUCUUUAAAGUCCAACAAAAACUGAAACGAUUGAAAGUUCUGUUCAAGGAUUGGAACUGGGCUGUCUUCGGGGAUGUUGAUAACAUGGUGAGAGAAGCACAUGCUACUUUCAUUGUAUGGCAAAAAUCAGAAUUAACCAACAGAUCGUAACAGAGAUAUUGACUGAGAAUGGAAGAGUGCUGAAGUCACAAGCUGGAAUCAAAGAGCACAUUGUUCUGUAUUUUUAGGAGAAAUUUGCUGCCAGUCCUAUUACUUUGCAUCCUGAGGUGCUUAGCUGGGUUCCCCCGAGUAUUUCGGAGGCUGAGAAUGAGGGCCUGACAAGACCUCCCUCACCCCAAGAGAUUCAAGAUGUCGUCUUCUCAAUGGAUGUUGACAGCUCACCGGGGCCGGACGGGUUUCUAGGAGCUUUCUAUUUUAGUUGCUGGAACAUUAUCAAGACAAACAUUUUUGAGGCUGUUGUAUCCUUUUUUAGAGAUGGCACUCUACCUGCUGGUAUUAACUCAAGCUUUAUUGUUUUAAUUCCAAAAGAGGGCAAUGCUAACAAAAUCUCUAAAUUUAGACCUAUUUGUAUGAGUAAUUUUAUUCUUAAGAUUAUUACGAAGAUCAUGAAUAACAGAAUGGUAGAUAUAGCUUCCAGAAUUUUUUCCAGGGAGCAGUGUGGAUUCGUCAAAGGGAGGUCCAUCCAAACUUGUAUUGGGCUGGCCUCUGAGAUGGUCAAUGAAAUGAGGAUCAACAGACAUGGCGGCAAUCUUGGUCUCAAAUUAGAUAUAACCCAGGCAUAUGAUACAAUCAGCUGGGAGUUUCUAAUUCAUGUUCUAAGAAAGUUUGGCUUUUGUGAGACAUGGUGCUCUUGGAUUUACACAAUUAUCAAUAGUGCACAGGUCUCUGUGAUCAUUAAUGGAGAGCCAUGUGGUUACUUCAGACCAGGUAGGGGGCUUAGGCAGGGGAAUCCUAUGUCCCCAACUCUUUUUGCACUUGCAGAAGAAGCUCUAAGCAGAGGUUUGCUUCAGUUGAGAAGUGUUGGGUUGGUGAAGCCUAUGUGCUUUGUCAGAGACCUCCCAAGACCCUCUCAUCUUUGUUUUGCCGACGACAUCUUUAUUUUUGUCACUGGUGAGCUGAAAGGGCUUAGAAAGUUGCUGGAGUUUUUUCACAAAUACCAGCAAUCCUCUGGGCAAUGUAUUAGCCAGGAAAAGAGUAAGCUCUUCAUGGGUGGUAUUAAUGCAAGAAGGAGAAACAAGAUUGAAUAUCUCUUUGGUUUUAAAUCUGGUGUGUACCCUGAAAAGUACCUUGGGGUACCAUUAACGCAGGGCAGAGUCAAGAGAGCUCUCCUAGCUCCAAUGAUUGAAAGAAUUAGACAACGAGCUAGCACUUGGGCUGGUAGAUUGUUGUGCUUCCAAGCAAGAGUGGUAUUGGCAAAGGAUAUCCUCUCUAGUAUGUCUGUUUUUACAAUGGGCAUCUACAAGUGGCCUAGGCAAACCAUUACGGAGGCAGAAAGGAUCAUCAGAAACUUCAUCUGGACUAGCAAUUCAGAAGAAAGGAAAUGUGUGACUGUCAAAUGGUAAACUGUGUGCAAGCCAACUUCUGAAGGGGGUCUUGGUCUGAGAAAAAUGAAGGAGUUCAACAAAGCAAUGCUAUGAAGUUUGCAUGGGGGUUCUUGGCCAACAAGGACCAGUUUUCUAAAUUUUUACAAGCUAAAUUUGUGACAAGUUCUGGGAAACUCAUCCAGUAUCAUAAACCGUCCUCUAUUUGGCCUGGCAUCAAAUGGGCGUUCUCUGAUUUGAAACCAGGUACUAGGUGGAUUGUGGGUAAUGGUGCGGACAUCGAUUUCUGGAGAGAUAAUUGGUGUGGGGACUCUAUUCAAUCCAGGCUCAUGCUAAGUGCAACUGAUCUUAAGGGCUGUGAAGCAAGGCUCAGUGAGAUAAUUAUUGAUAACGAAUGGUUGAUUCCACAGAACACCAAAUUGAUCCUAAACCUUGCAGGAUUGAACAUUGAGGAGUUGCCAAGGCCCAAUGGUAAUUUGAGAGACCAAAUCGUGUGGAAGCAUGAUCCUAAGGGUGUUUUUUCUGUCAGCAGUGCUUUUGAAGUCACCAGGAAAAAAAGCCUUCAUGUGUGGUGGACUAAACUUUUGUGGCGACCUUGUAUUCAUCCCAAACUUGCUGGGAUUGCAUGGAAAAUAGCUCAUGAGAGAAUUGCUGUGGACAGUGUACUGCAGAGAAUGGGAAUGCAGUUGGUUUCCAGGUGUGGUCACUGUAGAAUAAAUGUUGAGGACCAACAACAUUUAUUGUGGGAAUGUCCAUGCAGCAAACUUAUUUGGUCAUGGAUAGGGGAAUUAUUUCAAGAAAAUGCAACCUUCAGGUCACUACAACAAGCUAUGGAAGGGGCUAAGCAGGGAAGCACUAUCAUUAGGGACCUAUGGCUAGCGAGAGUUUGGGGCUCCAUUGUAGUAAUCUGGCAGAGUAGAAACAAAUGUGUGUUUGGGGAUGAGAGCUUCUCUUUUCACAAAUGCAAGUGCAAAAUCAUGGGGUGGAUUAGGAGGGCAUGGAAGCUUUCUAAGGGAACCAUGAAUAACUCAGUGGGUGACUUAAUAAUCCUUAGACAACUGAAACUUGGUCUUAAACCAGGGAAGCUACAGAAAGUGAAGGAAUGCAGAUGGUUCCCUCCCUCUAGCUCCUUUGCUAAAAUGAACUCUGAUGAGGCAUCUAAAGGGAACCCAGGGCCUGAUGGUGUUGGUGUUGUUUUUAGGAACAAUAGGAGUGAAUUUUUGGGGGCUAUGGCUAAGAAUAUAAGGUGUUGCACUAGCUUCAUUGCAGAAUGCUCUGUUGUGGUAUGUGGGGCAGAAAAGGCUGUUGAGAAGGGUUGGCUUAACUUGUGGAUUGAGGUGGACUCAGUUGCUGCAGUCCAUGUUUUUGGCAGGAAUGAAGUGCCUUGGGAGCUCAUCUCAAGAUGGAGAAAAGUGUUGGAUUAUUUGCAUCAUGUCGUUAUUACUUCGACGUGGCGGGAAGCCAAUUUUGCUGCUGACAUUAUGGCCAAUGAAGGAGUGAAGCUCGAUCAUGGCACCGAGGUUUUCUAUGUGGUUAGGCCUCCAUUGCUAUAUAAAAUGGAGGACCCCCAUGCUACGUAUUUUAGAUUCUGUUAACUCAACCAGGGGAUAUUGGCUUAGUACAGGUGGGGUGCCUACCUAGUAGGGAUGCUACUCUGGCACUAAGUCCUCUGUGGUUUCUUGUAUUACAUUUUUCUUUCAUUCUUUAAUAUAUUCUUUCUUACCAAGCAAAAAAAAAAGAGUUUUGGUUUGGUUUUAAUUAAAGUAAUCGUGGGUUUGUACUGGAAGGGCUUAACAGAUGCAGUAACAACUAAGGCUACGAGCCUACGAGUCUUAUUGAGAAGGGUUCUAUGAUUAAAUAUAAUGAGAAAGGUUAAGAAUUGUGUUCAUAUAUGUAGAAUCAUUGCAUGAUGAUUAUAUUGAUUUUAUGAUAACUGCAUUUGGUUUCUUCUAAAAUUAAAGACGAAGUGGUCUUGCCGGAUUCUUGUAUAACAUCCAACAAAAGUGGCAUCAAUUUUUAGUCUCGAACUGGUCUUGCCCGUAAGUUUAAUGUGUUGAUCAACUCAUGUACACUCUUUAGUCUUUACUGCCCAAUCAUGUAAUCUUCUUCCCUAGUUUUAGUUCCAUAUAUACUAGCAAACCAUUAAUUGUCUCUAACUCUACUAUACAUAGUAGUAGACUAGUAGUCAAUAGACUUUGAUACUUGUGUUUGGCGUGGACAAUUCUUUAGAAAUUCGAUACAUAAAGUCUAUAUAAUCAGCAAUUGUUUCUCUGGCAUUUCAUAAUCAUUCUGAUGUUUUCAGACAAUGGGAUCGUCUUCCAGACUGUUUGUUUUCAUCCUAAUUUGGUGUGGACAAUGGGAACUACCAAUCUUCCUUGCCAUUCUCAUCCUAAUUUGUUUUCAUCAUCUGAGUACAACAACUUCAGGUACUUUAAUUUUAUAUUAAACCCCUAUAAAUUUCAUUAAAAAAUGCCAACUUCUAUAAUGAUAAUUAUGUCUUCGUGGAGAGGUCGGAAGUAUUUCAAACUAACUUGAAGAGAUCAACUGUACUUUUUAAUCCAUCACCUACUGCAAAGUGCAAACCCACCUAACGGAAAGGUCAAAGGUGAAGAAUGUACCAGAUCUUAUUGAUAGUUAUUAGUAUGUCAGACUGUAGAAGUUCAAUUCAAAUUCUCAUUCAGCUGGAAUUUUUUUUGGUUAUCUUCGAUUAUAAUUUUGCUCAAUAAAAUCAAAUUGCUCCCUUUCAUCCGUGUAGUACAUGAUUUUGAUUAUAUUACCAGAAACAUAAUACAUAAUACAGUAUAGAGAAAUGAUUAAUAUUAUCAUUAGCUAUAAACAAAAUAGGCAGAACUUCGGCCCCUCUUUUCAGGUCAGCCCUUCUCAUCUUCUUUGUCUGGAGAAUUGUAGUCGCUCACCCAAGGAAACUUUUCUGAAACAACUCUUGCAAACAACUUUCUGUGAUACAUUCUCUAGAUGCUCUUUGUCCGCAAGGACCAAAAGGUGGAUAAAUAUCAAGUAUGUGGUUACGUUGAUUCCAAUUAUUCAGGUGAUUUGGAUAAGCGACGUUCAACUACCGGAUACGUUUUUACACUAGCUGGUGGUCCAGUGAGUUGGAGGUCAAUGUUACAAUCAACUGUCGCUUUGUCCACUACAGAGACCGAGUAUAUGGCAGUAACGGAAGCAGUGAAGGAAGCUUUAUGGCUCCGGGGUUUGAUUGCUGACUUUGGGAUCACCCAUAAUAGUGUGAAAGUGCAUUGUGAUAGCCACAAUGCUAUUCAAUUGGCAAAGAAUCAAGUUCACCAUGGAAGGACUAAACACAUUGAUGUCCGAUUUUAUUUUAUUCGAGAGAUUAUCGAAUAUGGUAGAGUUCUUUUACAAAAGAUUGGCACCAAGGAUAAUCCGGCGGAUAUGAUGACAAAAGUGGUACCAGGAGUCAAGUUUGAGCAUUGCUCUAACUUGAUUAAUAUCCUAAAAUGUUGAAGCCCUUUUAGGGGGCAGUUUGUGAUGGUGAAAAUAUGUUUGUCUUCAAAGGAAACAUGUUGCAAUUACAUGCUAAGGAGGUUCAAGAGUGGGUGGUAUGAAAUACUCGCCAAGGUGGAGAUUUGUGAGAUUUUGGCUUGCAUUUCGGCAGAUUGUUUUCACACAAAAAGCUACACAUUGUUGACUUGGUGAAAGCACAAUUGUGGCUUAAGUUUAUUUGGUAACUCCAUGUUUUACUCCGCAUGUUUCACUCUCCUUGUUUGCUCUCCACAUUAUUGACUUUGAGAGAAAGUAAAUAGUUGGAAGCUCUUGUAUAAAUAGGGAGUGAAUGUGUGUUGAAGUAAUCAUCUGAAAAGAAGAAAAACAAAGGAGUUGCUUCCUUCUUUCUUAGAGAGAGUUAUUGGUUUUUACCUUUUGAGAGAGUUGGUGAGCUAAAAGUGUGUGAUUGUAAUCCUUACUAUUCUUGAUCAGUAGUGAAGAACCCAUCAUCACCAUGGAGUAGGCUCUCUUGCCGAACCACGUAUAUCUUUGUUUUGUGUGUGUGAGUGUUUUGUGUAUGUUCUCAUUAUUGCAUAACUAUUUAACAUAUUCCAUAUCUUUCAAUCAACCUAGAUCCUACUGUUAAUGGGAUUGAAUAAGCUUGUGAGGUAGUCCUUUUCUCAACACCAUUAACAUGAUCCCGAACUGUGCAAACUAUAACAUCAUAAUUAUAAAUAUUACAUGUGUCCCCCAAUCCUAGUUUGUAUAAAUUCCCAUGUCAGACACUCUGUUACUCAUGUCGGACACGUCAAAUCACACAUGCACUGGUAACGCAGGUUUUAAGUUAUGUUAUGAACUCUAACGAUAGACUUUGGGAACACGCCCCAAAAAGAUAGACACAAUUAAGAAGUAACACAACUUUAGGUGUUCGAGUUAUACUAUUGUAUGGAACAGAAUAGCUUCGUGGCUAUUACAGAAAGGGCCCUGUCAUAUAUAUGAUGCAAGUUGUGUUGGUGCUAAGAAAACUUGUGCAUAUUUAUGUUAAUUUCAACAACUUGAAAAAGAAUGACUUCAAUUAACAUGUCAAUUUGAAAGUGUAGGCAUACUGUAGUUUCCUCUGUUAUUUUGUAAUGUAUGUGUAUAUAUGCAAUUGCUUAGAAAUUCCUUACCACAUUAUCUUUUAGGGGCCGUUCGGCAACAACUACAGAAUGCAUUUCUUUCCUUCUUAAAAGUCAAGAAGUAGAAAGCUUGUUCGGGAAUUUAAGAAAUAGAAUUUAGAAAGUAAUUUCUAUCAACUAAGAAAGGAAUUUUAUAAGAAGUUUCUAGUUUUAGCUUAUUACUUCUGUCUUUCUCAUUUCCAACAAAUGAACUUACAUAAUUCCUUCCCUAUUUUGCGUUGGUUGCGGAACGGCCCCUUAAAGUCUAUAUAAGUAGCUAUACUAUAGCUUCCCCUCUGAAUGAACAUUGUGAAGUUUUCAGAUGACAAUGGGAUCUUCUUCAAGACCACAGCUAUCAAUUUUCAUUACCAUUCUGCUCCUAGUUUGUUUCCACCACAUUAUAACCAUUUCGCGUAUUUAUUUAAUUUUUUAUGAAAAACGUUUGUGUUAUUUAACCCCUUUCAUAUUAUUCACGAAAAACGUACUUGAUUAACUAAAUACAUGCAGAUUAUAUUAAUUGUAUUUUUAUUUUUUAUUUUUUCUUAGUCUUUCCAGAUUCAGAUCUUCUCUGUAGAAAACUAUUGACAGAGAGAUCAGAACAUAUACUUCACACUAGCUGGAAAAUAGGGUCGCGUGGUCUUGGUGCAUCACGUGAUCCUGUUUCAUCUAUACCAGCUUGCGCAGGUUCAAAACCUUGUUCAAACCCACCUGGGAUAGGUCGGAUGCAAGGACAUUAAGGUGGAUUUUGGGAGCACAUAAGAAGCUGUAAUGAUUUGCUUUGCAUGGUUAAGGACAAUGGACAAUGGGAAGAAAAAGUGAAAUCCAAUAGAAGAUGAUAAUUUAUAGUGUAUCUUAUUAAUUGUAGUAUUUCAUACAUUGUAAUAAUCACUUUUGGAAACACUUACUUUCUUUCCCCAAUUUAUGUUUUCCUUCUUCUUUCCGUGUACUCUAAUAAAAAUCAUUCCACCUCAUAAUAAAAUGGGUUAACAUCGACAUAAAACAUGAAAAAACCACAUUUUUUUCAGAAUUUUUUAGUUUUAAACCACAUAUCCAUAUAUGUUUAUAAUUUAUUUUAUUAUUUCAUACAUUAAGGCUCAUUAAUUGUAAUAAUCUAAUUGCAUAAUAAAAUGGUAUUUUGAGACUUAACCCCCGGCCAACUUUUUGUCCACGUUUUGAUUAAACCCCCACAUUUGUCCAACUUUUGACAUAGCAUCUUAUCAUUUUUUUCCCAUCUAUUUAAUCCCCCUGAUUCAAACUGUUGGACUUAACCCCAACUAACCUUGAUAAAUAAUGACUGUAGGGGUACUACCUAUAAAAACCAAUCACACGACGACACGUAGAACAUCAACUAUCACUGCUCGCCCACAACAUUCGCGACCUCAUAUGGCUCGACCAGAUCACGAAUCAGCUCGGAGCAUAUGGUCGUUAGCAACCUCAUUUCAGACGUGCUCUAAUUCACUGCACAAAUGUAACUGUGCCGUUACAAAUUAAUUGCUAGCCGUUAUGCAAUUAAGGUAACGGAGAAUUAGUAUGAUUCCAUGAUCCACGCCAUUCUACCUUCUAUAAAACCCAAUAGAACUAGGUAAAAUGGUUAUUUUAUACAAUGUACUUUGUCCAAAUUCUCACUUAAUACAAUGUAAAACAUUUCUGUCCUGGUUAUGCAUUACUUUUCAAAAUUCCCACGUUAUACAAUCUAUUAUGUUUCAUGCUAACGGCUGCUGAUCUGUCUUAUUUUUUUUCCUACACGUGUCUUUAAUAUUAUUUUUUUUAAUCAACUUGAUUUUCCAACACAGCAAAACUAAACAUAUGAAGAGCACGUACUUGUCUAAAUCAAUCUAAUACUGGUAAGGAACACAUGUCCAUAGAUCUAUGUAUCAUGUGUUUUAAUCCUCACCCUCCAUCUAUUCCCGCCAAUGUUUUCCGCCAUUGUCAACAAAAACACCCAACCAACAUUAUUUACUGCACACACUUCAUCACUUCAACCUUAAUCUAAUAUCUUCUUCACUUCACCACAAAUUUUUUUCUUCACUUCACAACCAUCAUGAAACCAAAUAACCAAAAAACCUAAUUUGACAAGAUAAUUUACCAUGAAACGUUAAUUUGUUAAGAAAUUACUUAUUGCUGCUGGAUUUACUUCAACAAGGAGGAAUGUUAUUGUUGGAUUUGGUUAAAAGAAGAUUCUUUUAAAAAGUAAGCCAGUUUAUUCAAUCGAUUGCUCGUUUACAGUGAUUGUAGUUGUUUAAUCUUCCGAAUUUGUGGGUUUGUUGUUUAGUGGUGAAAUUAUGAUUUUUUUCUUCAAAAAUAGGGGUUUGUGAUUAAAUUAUGCAAAAACCCCUUUUAUUGUUAGAAAUUUAGGGAAGUGUGAUUAAAUUAUGAAUAAAUUAGUUUAUUGUAUAACAAUCUAGGGAUUUGUGAUUAAAUAAUGAAAUAAGUUUGUUUAAUGUAUCAAAGUUAAGGAUUUGUUUAAUGCUACUCCAUUUCAAGUAGAAAUACAUUUCAAUUGCUAACCCAUUUCUAGUAGAAAUCUAGCAGUAGAUAAACAUAGGAAUCAUAAAAAAAGAACAAAUUUUCUUCUGAAUCUUAGCAUUCUCAUACAAUUUCUCUAGUUGUUUAAUCUUCUCAUUGGCCUGCAACUUAAGCUUCAAUGGUCUUUUGCAGAAUUUUGUUGAACUUGUUCAUCUCUGUUAUUAUGUUAUCAAGGUCUUCAACUCUUGUCUUCAAGUGCCCAGUGCUAGUCUUCAAAUCUUCAUGCUGGUAGCAUAAUUGCUGAUGUCGAAGCUCAGGUUUCAUGUAUGCUUCAAUCCAAGUGAAGAAAUCACACUUUGAGACUCCAUAGGAAGCAGGUUGUUGCCGAUAAAACCCUACACUGCCGGACGUCCGUAGUGGCUAAGUAGGGACAAUAUUGGUGGUGAUAUAGGUCGAGCCGCUACAAAUGGUAUCAGAGCCGACGAUGGUUCACAUGUCGAGGGUGGGAGAAUGUAAUGACCCGUAUUCACUUUAGGGGUAUUUUAGUAAUUUUAUUUAUAAACUACGAUUAGGAUAAAAUAAUUAUAACUUUGGUGGAUUGCUUUUAGAAAAUGGAGUAUUUUGAAAUAGGAAGAAUAUUUAAAUUAGAAUAAAUAAGAAAUGAAUCUCAAAACACAUUUCAGAAUAUUUCCGCAAACCUGACGCGUACAAAUAUAACAGUUAAUUUUGAUGUUUAAUAAGGACUACCCUCGGCACUAAUACCAACUCAUAGGUGAUCGAGCGCGCGUCCAAAUGUAUAAAAAAAGUUGAAGUGGACACAAAUAUAUUACCUAGAUUUUGAUUGAAGUGGGUAACUUAUUAAGUAGCUCACAAGAUCACUAGAAUGACUUGCUUUGUAUGGAAUAUGGAUUUAGAUUACAGAGAGCUUGACACCUAUUACUAUGACUAAUCAAGUACUAAAGAGAUGGGGAUCCAGGAGCAACCAGUUCUCACUAGCAACUAAAAGAAAGAAAGAAAAUUUGAAUGAGAACCCCAAAGCUUUUCUAGCUAUUCACCGAUCUAAUUAAGUGAACACAAUCCAAUUUCCAAUGGAUUUUUCUUCGCUGGUUGUUGAAGUAUACAUCUCUGAAUUUAAGAUAAAGAUUAUGAUCAUGCUUGGAGGCAGUUCACACACAAGAAACCAAAACCCAUCCUCAUCACAUGUUAAUUGUAUUCAAGUUUUGGCGGUGCUUGGUGGCUAAAAUAAAGAAUUAGUUAGAGAUUAAUCUGUGAUGUUUAUUGAUCAGAAAUUAUGAGCUCUUUAAGUUGGACGACUGUGAAUUCAUUUGCUUCAUAUGGUGAUAUGGUAACCUACAACUGACUGGUUAGAAUUUGAUUCUAAGCUGGCGUGAAUUAACUACAUAUCCAUGAUUCAUUUGGUGUUAAAUAUAGGUACGGUGUUUGUAAGUUUUUUUUGGGACAUGUAAUUGAUGCAUCCCAAUUUCCAAGUACAAAUCUUAAGAAAGUAGAUGGAACAUAGAUGGGUGUGAGCUUAUGAACCUCGGCAAAUGCUCGGUGAGAUGUUUAAUGUGAAUUGAUUAAUUAAGUUGGUAGCCAGCUGCUACACUAGUGCGGAGCCGGUAAACACUUCACCUUAACUUGUAAAAUGGUCUUAAUUUGGAUGCACAAUAUUAAUUCAUAUAGAUUUACUUGCAUACAGCUGCGGUCUUAGGAUAUCAACAUACCUAAAUGAGUAUUUCAAACUUAGAAGGAAGUUAAGGAACUAACAAGCAAGAGGUAGGGACUUACAUUUCUUUUAUACUGUCUUUUUGUGUAUCAUAUUUUAAUGUUGUAAAUUAAUUGAUAUAUUAUUGAUGAUAAAAAUGCAUGCAUGGUUUUGUUUGGUAUAUAUAGAUUACUCGUGGUUUAUCGAUUAUAGUUUUUAUUAAAGUAAUUAGUUACUGAUAUCAUGUUUUAAAUUGGAGUUAUUAAAGCAGUAUAUGUAUAUUGAAAUGGUUUUAUAAAUGGAUUUCUCAAUAAAUCUCUUUCCAAUGGUGGAAAAGAUUUGGUUUUGUAAUGCGGGGCAAGGAAACCCGAUUGUAAUGUAUAACUGGGAUGUGUGAGGUCCCUAGAUUGAUGGAAAUAUUGAUCUGGUAUGUUGUCACGAUUAUGGCUGUGGCCCGGUUAGGGUAGCCAACUGUACGGAUCAUAUUUGAUUAUGGCUGUGGCCCGGUUAGGGUAGCCAUGGAUAUUGUUUAAAUCUGGGGACUCACCACACAUUUAAAUAUAUGGCAUAUGUAGUUAAUAUAUAAUGAGGUUGUUUGGAGAGGGCCCUGUGAAUUCCUAUAAUGAAUGAGUUGUUGUCAUAUUCCGGAGAUGGCAGUUCAUUCUGGGAUGACAUCUAUGGUGUUCACCUUUAGAAGGUGAAUGGCCUUCUAGAGAUACAUUAGAGAUGUAUCCGGGAAUUCCUUUUCACCAUUCCAGACCACCGUUCAUGUAGUGGUACGUUGUUGAUAUAUUAGUUCAGAUGAGGCUACAUGUUACCUCGAUGAGGUUUAGACGCAAGGGGUGAGAGUUAGUCCACUCCUGGAUGUGUGUCAGGAUCAUGUGCAGUCUGCAGUCGUCGAACGGUUGACCAUCGUAAUUCAGGGAUUCCUCGUAUCAGGAAUCGUGGUCAAAGGCCCACCUGAGUCUAAAUGGACGGGUUUAGUGUUCUGGGAACACAACAACGGUAAUACAGUCACCCCACCGGAAAUCAAGAAAUAACGGUGUAGGUUCACACUGGUAAGUACUGAAUCAAGAGAUUCCCUGCGACCGGGGCGGUAUAGCGGUCAUACCUUAUCAUUCUAAUAGGAUGCAGCUACCCGACUUAUUGUAUGGAUGCUUGGUUAGUAUGAUUACUAUAAAAGGUAAAAGGUUUGGUUUAAAAAUAUUUACUUAUCAAAUUACUUAUGUAUUUUAUUAUUACAGUUAAACCUGCAUUAUUUCAACUGUUUCGUAUGGUUAAUCGUCAUGCAUGAUUAGAUAGUAUUUUGGAAAUGUGAGUCACUACUGAGCAAGUGGAAAUGCUCACCCUAUCAUUAAUCCCUUUUUCAGUUAAACAGUUGUUCGAGGAUAGAUCGAUUCAGCAGAUAUGGUUGUGUGGAGGUUACAAUGGGUAUUGGUAUAGGUAUUCGUGCGAUAAAUAUACGUAUCUUUUGUAUAAAAGUGAUCACAGUUUGUAUUAUUAUGUGUUGUACUAUUUUAUAUAUUCUUAAAGCCAAUUAUAUAGAUGAAUAUCAUUCAGAAUCUUGUAUUAUAAUAUUAUUAUCAUGGGUUGGGUUAUUCUAAUGCCUCGAGAUCUGACAUUGAGUCAUAGGGAUUCGUGUUAUGUUUUGGGGCGUUACAGAGAAUAUGCUGGAAAGGCACCUAGCCCAGGAAGGGGUGACGGUUGCGUCGGGUACUCGUCUCGCGAGGGGCAGAGAACGUCGAAGAUCUGGGGCUGUAUAUUCCAAGCCAAGGACGGAUCUCCUCUAAGGUGGUGGGAUUGUAACACCACGGGUCAGCAGGUGGUUUGUCGAAGGGGUGGGUCCUACGGUACCUAAGAGGGGGAUGUUCUGACAUUGGAAUAUAGGUAUAGAUUCGUUAUAUAUUAUCACCUAGACUUUUUGGGCUUACUGACUCCAGAGUUCGAAAGAACUCCAAAGUUAAGCGUGCUCGGGUGGGAGUAGUCCCAGGAUGGGUGACCUCUGAAACCGGCAUGAAGUGGUUUGACAUCAAUUUUGUGACAAAGUGUCUUUGGUUAUCUCGCCUUGAAUUCAUUGUUAGGAAAACCAAGAUGUACGCAUGGUCGUCUCGUGUCCUUGUGUCUCUUAGGUCUGUCUAGGGAAAGUUAUUGGGUUCUGGACGUACGUACCGAGUUAGGACGUACGUACGUUCACUGAAGCAGCGAACUUCUUUUGGUCAGGACGUACGUACUCAGUUAGGACGUUCGUACGUCCAGGUAGUCAGCAGACGUGUUUUCGUAUGGAGACGUACGUACCGGUUUAGAGCGUUCGUACGUCAUGUUAGGCAGCAGGCUUAUUUUUGUGUGGCGACGUUCGAACGUCAUAUCGACGUACGAACGUCCAAAGUCGGUUUGCACAGUUUCGGCCCAUUUUCCUUUGUUUCCAACCCUAAGUAUAAAUAGGGUUUCUCUUCCAAAGAACAAGUUAGUUCUUUGGCCGUCCAAUUCAUCUAGUAUUGGAGUUUGUUUAGGUUUUGGUUUUAGGUUGUUUUUUGGUGAUUGAACUCAUCUUCUUCUUCCCCAUUCAUCUUCUUCUUUCUUCUUCCCCAUUCAUCUUCUCCUUCAUUAUUGAAUAGUGAUUUAGCUUCGAGUCUUCUUGUGUGUUCAUCAAGAAGUCGAGUUUCCUUGUGUGUUCAUCAAGGAACUCUGGUGUAAGCUUGUUUCAUAGUUCGGCUUCGAGUCUUCUUGUGUGUUCAUCAAGAAGUCGAGUUUCCUUGUGUGUUUAUCAAGGAACUCUGGUGUAAGCUUGUUUCAUAGUUCGGCUUCGAGUCUUCUUGUGUGUUCAUCAAGAAGUCGAGUGUCUUGUGCGUACAUCAAGGUGCUCUGGUGAAGUCAAGGUGUUAGAGAUAAUCAGGAGUAUCAACUCGCAGUGAGUGCAGGUAGUUGAUAGGUUUGUACAUCUCUUUUCAUCUAGUGAAUUAUUUUGUUGUCGCGAGGACAACCGUGGACGUUUCCCAUAUUGGGUUUUACCACGUUAAAAAUUUCUGUGUGUUAUUUACUUUCUGCAUAUUGUUUGAUCUGCUUGAAUAUUCAACUGUCAUAUUAGCACUAUUUGUAGUUUCUCAAUUGGUAUCAGUCGCUGGGGGCUGGUUAAGGAGCGUCAAGGCUCACGCUAACGAUCCUAUGAGUGCAAUGAUGGUUCAUGAGUCUGGUCAUAAUAAUUUUAUUGCUAAAUCGUCUAAAUAUACAAAACCAAAAUCUGAUUUUGAAAAGGAUGAUAAUUUGUAUGUUGUUAGCAAUAGUGAUUGGGCUCUUCUUUACAGACUUUCUGCAAAAGAAUGUGAAAGAUUACAAAAAGCUAAUAUUGAUUUGCAGGAAAAAUUUAAUAAAGCUAAUUGUAAUGUGUCUACUAUUUCUGAUAAUGUUUGUUUUGAAGAUAAUGGUGUUUUGCAGACUAAAGUUGAUUCUCUAGAACAACGACUCAGACAUUGUGCAGAGGACUAUAUGCUUCAAGGGGAAGUUUAUAAAUCCAAAAUUGAAAAUUUGGAAAACCCUAAUCUUUCUUUGCAGGAUAAAAUUGAGAUUCUUGAAAAACAGAUUUCUUGUGUUGCAGAUGAUACAAUUUCUAUUUCUCAAUUAUUUGACAAAGAAAAACUUGACUUGUUAUGUAGAAUUGCAGCUUUAGAGAAGGUCAAUCAGGAGGUCGAUGAGAAAUACAAAUCUCUAUUGGUGGAGUAUGAGGUAACAAAGAACGAUUUAACGUCUACUCAACUCCAAUUGCAGGUUUUNNNNNNNNNNNNNNNNNNNNNNNNNNNNNNNNNNNNNNNNNNNNNNNNNNNNNNNNNNNNNNNNNNNNNNNNNNNNNNNNNNNNNNNNNNNNNNNNNNNNNNNNNNNNNNNGACUAGACUUAAUACUAAUAGUUUUCAGCAUGUUUCUCGCACAAAGUUUAAGUCUAAGGCUAAUGAUAAAGUUGUUUUUGCUAAUAAGCCAUCUUGUUCUAAUAGGGGAGGUAUGGGUUUUGUUAAGGGACAAUGUCAUAAACCAAAUAGUGACCUACAUGGUUUAUCCACCACUACCACAUCUUCUUAUAAGAAUUCGUUGAGUAAGUCUAAUGUUUUGCAUUGUUCUUAUUGUGGUAGGGUUGGUCAUUUGGAUAUUUUUUGUUGGGAUUUUAAUCAACAUGAUGCAUCCUAUUCUCGUGUUCCUAAUCAUUAUAAUCAUGUUGAUUCUAAUGUUUCUUCUUGUGCAUUUUCUAGACCUUGGAAUUAUAGUGGUGUUCGACACAGGUUUAAGAAAAACAGGUAUUCCAACAAAAGGAAAUCUAAGACUAAGGUGGAAUUAGUUAAGGACAAGUGUAUUGCAAAGCGUGUUAAGGGAAAAUCUCAUAUCUUUUCACCUCCCAAGGUGUGCACGCCUAGUGUUAAACAAGUAUGGGUAAGAAAGGAUAAGUUGAAGGUUUUUCUGGACUUGCAAAGGUCUGGUGGUGUCCCAUAUUUGGGAUGAUGUAGUUUGUUUCUAGCCUUGUGUUAUUUGAAUUGCAUAUUUCUCUUAUCACAUAGGCUAUUUGUUUGGUGCUUCUAUUUUUUUAUGUUUUGUUUGUUUAGCUUGCAGAUCAUGUUGCAUGUCUGAAUAUUUUGUUAAUAAAAAAAGGGGUUGUUGGUUAUUCCUUCUAUUUUUUUGUUUUAUUUGUUUACUCCAUGUAUGUGUUGUUGGAUGCAUCUUUUCUGAGAUAUUGGUUUAAAUUCAAUUGUCUUAAAUAAGUUGCAAUAUGUUUGGGUGUUUUCUCCUUCUGAACCCUUAAGUAUGUUUUGGUAUGUAUCAUGCAUUUUUCCUCGCUUGUUUGCACAGUGCACGGCAUGCUUGCAUAAUGGGAGUUUUUGGAAACCACCUACAUAUUCUUUGAGCUCAUAGAACUUCUCUAUCUCUCGAGUAUUUAUGUGAUCUUGAGCUAUCUCUCCUUUGUUUUGGUUAAUGUUCAUCUUGUUGUUAGUGUUAUUGAACAUUCUUAUCUUCCUUUUACAACUCUUGUUAGUGGUCAAUGACUCACUUUAUCCCCAGCCAUUUGAUUGUCUUUGAAGCAAUAUCAGUUGGCUAAGAACCCGUUGGGGUUGUGAGGGUCAUGCUCUGACGGAUGCACUCAAGAGAUGUUAGUUCUUGUGUUGCACGUUAUCAUGGUAUUGCACUUCUUGAGUUUGUGUUUGUCAAAAAGAUGUAGGCUACACCCUACCCUCGUGUAUUUGAAAAGAUGGAGGCAAAAAUCCCUCCCACGCGGGAAUGACAUUAGAGUGAUGUAGACUAAACUCCACCACAUGCAGCAAAAUAAAAAAUCCGAGCGCAUAUUCAUUGUUUUUUAUGUAAGGCAUACAAAGUUAUAUUCCUUUGCCUUUUAAUGUCUUGGUUUUCAUUUGAAAGAUCAUAUUUAUAUAUUUAUAUUCGUUUGCCUUCUACUCAUAACGUUUGUUUCAAAGGGGGUUGAAGUUUGUUUCUUCUAUGCUCACUUACUAAUCGUAUGUCUCUUGUUGAUGGUUCUAUAUUCUAGGUCUUCAAGGGUGUGUUCUAGUGGUGAACUUUAUCUCACUUUAUGCAUUGCAUUGCAUCUACACACCGAGGUUUAGUUUAUGAUGCACUUCAAUUCUCUUAUUUGUUCAAUCUUUUGCUUAUCACCAUAUAUUGCCUCUUAUUUUUGUACGGAUUGGGAUUGGCUACUGUUUUUGGAAGUUCAUGAUGUAUUCCUCUUCACUUCUAUGGUACAUCGGUUCUUUUCUUUUUAUCUUCUUAUUAUGGUUUGUGUUGUUAGUUAUUAGGUUUGUUUUUCUGCUAUUAAAGUUAGUCCUUAAGGUUAGUCUUCACAUGGUUGGAUAUGGGUUGUUAGUUUUGUCGUUAAAAUUGAUUCUUAGAUAUGGUGCAGCCUCUAUUUGCUAUUGUUUGUGUUUGGUUCUUCAUUAUCCUCGUCUAACAAGUUUAGUGUGAUUCUCAUUGCUUGGUUGUUAUCGUGUGCACACUUCAUGAUUCUGCACACCAUGUGUUCGAUAAAAUGUCUACAUGGGUAUUCUCACAUUUCUUGUGCUAGGUUCGCCAUUUCUCUUACAUUUGUUAGUUUGGUUAAUGUUGUGUUUAUGCAGGACAUGCCUCCUAAGCGCGCUCGGACUACUCCCACCAAAGAAACACCCGGUUCCAAGGGUGCUUCGUCAUCGGGCACACGUCCUCCUCGUGCUUAAAGGAGUAGAGGCGUCAUUCCUUUGGAUUCUUGUCGAUGUUCUUGCUGAAAGUGUUUAUGGCUUACUCUAUUUUGGUUCUAUUCCUUGGUAAUUCUUUUCAGUCGGUGUUUCAUUGACAUACUAAGGUCAGAUUGUUAGUAUUAUUUGGUUUUACACUUCAUGCUUUCUAUUUUUGUCAUUGGAUCACAUGUGUUUGAUGUGAUUUCUCAAGGUAAUAGUUCUCAAUUUGUUUUAAGAAGGCUACAAGGUAUGCAUAAGCAAAUUUUGGUGAUGAAAUCAUGUUAUUGGUGUAUUCGGUUGUCAUGAUUUAUAUUGAUUCAUGUUUUCUCAUAGGUUCUCAUCAUACUUUUCUAUGUUGGGCUAAUAUUCUUGAAUUACCUUGUUGGCUAGCUGGUGUUUGAUUAAAUGCUUAUGAGACUUGCCUAUCCUCUUAUUGUUGCUUCUUGUGCCUGGUUGAUCCUACUUUUUCCUGCAAUAGGUUUGAUUAGAUGUGUUCUUGGUAGUCUUCUGCAAUAAUCCUCAUGCAAUGGUUUUGGGCUACCACUGUUCUACUUUGGGAUGCAUAUGCUCAGUUUGGUCAUCUAUUGUUAGCAAUUCUCUUCUAUUGACUCUCUAAUCUUUCUGACAAUGUAUGGCAUGUCAUCGGAGUCUUAGUGUUCUGGCAGGAAAUUUACUCUGAAGUUGGAUUGUUGCUUUGUGACUUGGUGACAUCGAUAAUCCUUGCUCAUUCUUCAGUUAAAGUUUUUUUUGAGCUUGAUGAUUGUCUAUCUUGUUUGGCAUAUGUUGAACUAAUUUUUGGGUUUCACUAGGGGUGGGCUUACAGGUUUAGUCCUUUUAUGUCUCUAUUCCAUUGUGUUUGGGAUAAUAUUUUCUUAUCCUUGUUUAUAAGAUUCUCUAAUUCUUUUUUGUGGUUGGAUGAGUUGUCUCAGGAACAUGUACAGAUUGGAUUUCCCCAUGGAUUCUCAAUGGAUUUUCUUCUACUUUACGUAUCUUUUUCUGCAGAUACUCAUAUUCCUGUAGUUUUGUCAUGGGAUAUUGUUGGAUGUGUCUAAUAUGCAUGGUUUCCCUAUUCUCUUUCAUAUCUCCUACUAACUAUUGUUUAUCUCUUCUUCUUUCUCUUUUCGCAUAUUCUUUUCUUGCACAUUUCUCCCAGGUUUGACUAUUUGGUUCUUGGUCUUUAUUGUACCUUCCCAAUUUCAUCAGGUAUGGUAUUUCUUCCUUUUUGUUUGUUUGCUCUUUUUCUCUAGAUAUCUUGCUACUAUGAAGUCGUUUCUCUGGAAUCUAUCUCAGGUGGUUAUGGUCGGUUGUUUAAAAUGAUAUUCUAGUGAAUCAUUUGUUCCGAUUGUUGGUGUCCUGACUCUUUCUUCUAUGUAUAGGAUUCUCUUGGUUUCUAUCAGGGAUUCAUGUUAUGUUUUCUUUUCUUCCCUCUGUUACCUAUAUAAGUAUUCAGUGUCUUGUGUCUGUGUUGGUACUCUUUCUUCUUCAUUUAUAUGCCUAGAUCUAUCUCAUGUUUUUUUUUAGUUUUGUGUGUCAUGGAUUCCAGAUUUAUGGUAUGGUUUUCUCUUUACUCUCUUCUACCCUUGUAUGAUUGGUUCUUUGUGUGUUUCAAAUAUCCUUAUUUGGUUUGUUUGUUCUAGGUGCAUCCUUCUCAUAUGCAUUGCAUUUAGGUGACGCUUUUGUUUAGGGGGAGAAUUCUUUGUAUUGACAUCGUGUUAACAAGUGUUUAUUUUAUGACUUCCGUUGCAUAUCCUUUUUGUUGUUAACAUGAUUGUUCUCUUACUUUUCUUCUUUAAUCUUAUUUGUUAUGGUUUGGUAUUUAUCUUUUCUCUUUCUUUUGUUACCUUGCUUCAUAUGUGACAAAAAGGGGGAGAUUUAUGACUCUAAUACUAACACCUUCUUCUUCCUUGUUAGUGUAUUUUUGGGUUAUGUUUCAGGUAUGCUACACGUAUGGGGGAGUGAACGUGUUGAUGUUUAGAGGUUGUACAGUUUUGGGUCAUGUUUCAGGUAUACUACAUGUAUGGGGGAGUGAACAUAUAUGAUGGAGUGAAAGUGAUGAUGAUCACUAAGUGUAUGUACAGUUUUGGGUAACCUCGAGUAUUAAACCUUGGAGUUCAUGAAGUAUGGGGGAGUUGUUCGAGAAACUUCCGUUGGCUCUUUGAUUGUUUCAGAAUUUCUUGUUGCUUCCGUUCGAUCUCUGAUGGUUAAAGCAUCUUCCUAAAGCUGGAUAACAAGAAUUGGUGACUUGCUAUGUGUUUCUAUUUUGAGUGUUUUUGUAGGCAUGUUUUAUAAAUGCCAUGGUUUGGGAUUGUAAGCACGUUUUAUAAGUGCUAUUAGAGUCAUAGGUUUUUGUCACAAAAUCAAUGUCAAAGGGGGAGAUUGAAACCGGCAUGAAGUGGUUUGACAUCAAUUUUGUGACAAAGUGUCUUUGGUUAUCUCGCCUUGAAUUCAUUGUUAGGAAAACCAAGAUGUACGCAUGGUCGUCUCGUGUCCUUGUGUCUCUUAGGUCUGUCUAGGGAAAGUUAUUGGGUUCUGGACGUACGUACCGAGUUAGGACGUACGUACGUUCACUGAAGCAGCGAACUUCUUUUGGUCAGGACGUACGUACUCAGUUAGGACGUUCGUACGUCCAGGUAGUCAGCAGACGUGUUUUCGUAUGGAGACGUACGUACCGGUUUAGAGCGUUCGUACGUCAUGUUAGGCAGCAGGCUUAUUUUUGUGUGGCGACGUUCGAACGUCAUAUCGACGUACGAACGUCCAAAGUCGGUUUGCACAGUUUCGGCCCAUUUUCCUUUGUUUCCAACCCUAAGUAUAAAUAGGGUUUCUCUUCCAAAGAACAAGUUAGUUCUUUGGCCGUCCAAUUCAUCUAGUAUUGGAGUUUGUUUAGGUUUUGGUUUUAGGUUGUUUUUUGGUGAUUGAACUCAUCUUCUUCUUCCCCAUUCAUCUUCUUCUUUCUUCUUCCCCAUUCAUCUUCUCCUUCAUUAUUGAAUAGUGAUUUAGCUUCGAGUCUUCUUGUGUGUUCAUCAAGAAGUCGAGUUUCCUUGUGUGUUCAUCAAGGAACUCUGGUGUAAGCUUGUUUCAUAGUUCGGCUUCGAGUCUUCUUGUGUGUUCAUCAAGAAGUCGAGUUUCCUUGUGUGUUUAUCAAGGAACUCUGGUGUAAGCUUGUUUCAUAGUUCGGCUUCGAGUCUUCUUGUGUGUUCAUCAAGAAGUCGAGUGUCUUGUGCGUACAUCAAGGUGCUCUGGUGAAGUCAAGGUGUUAGAGAUAAUCAGGAGUAUCAACUCGCAGUGAGUGCAGGUAGUUGAUAGGUUUGUACAUCUCUUUUCAUCUAGUGAAUUAUUUUGUUGUCGCGAGGACAACCGUGGACGUUUCCCAUAUUGGGUUUUACCACGUUAAAAAUUUCUGUGUGUUAUUUACUUUCUGCAUAUUGUUUGAUCUGCUUGAAUAUUCAACUGUCAUAUUAGCACUAUUUGUAGUUUCUCAACCUCCUGGGAAGCAGGUUGCUGCCCAUAAAGCCCCACACUGUCGGAUGUCAGCAGUGGCUAAGUGGGGACAAUAGUGAUAUAGGUCGAGUCGCUACAAUAUAGUCAUGUAGUUGUAGACAUGGUGUAAGAUCUCAGGAGAUCUUACUAAACCUCGCGAUUUUUAAUUUUUUUAAAGUCAAAACGAUAUUUAACUUGAUAUACCAUGUCCAUAAAAAAACAUAUCAAUGAUAUCUCGUGAGAUAUCACCAAUUUCUCGAGAUAUUGCCAUAUUUUCAGUAUAUUUCAGUACACUCACACACGGUGCGAGAGCUCUAGCCAUCCUCACUUGAGCUACGACACCGUGCAAAGUAGAUAUAUCCACACAACCAACCACAAUCUUUGGAACAACAAGUUGGGGGAAUUUCAACUGUGCCUCUCCUUACAUUUACAAUCUUUCAAUUCUUUUGGAAUGAAGAUUUCUUAUGAUAAUGAAUCAUACUGGCUAAGGAGCGAAUUGUAUACCCUUUGAUUGGGAUUUUUUUUUUCUUUUCUUAAAUCAAUAUGAUCAACCUACUUAUAAUGGUUAUAUUAUGUAAUUCAGACAAUACUUUUAUCCUACUGUGGGGGUAGAAUAAAUAUUUCAAUGACUAUCUUAUGAGACAGGUUGGAACUCAUUAUAAUGGUUUAUUGAAUUUAUAUAUGAUUGUAAGUUGUAACUUUGUAAUACAAUAUGCGACUUCUGUUAAUUUAUGGCAUUAGAAUUUGUAUUGCAUAUUUAGAGAGUCUUUUUGAGCUUAAGCUAUCUUAAUUUAAUACUUAUAGUUAACCUAAGAAAAUGCAAAAUAUCAACACAGUUCGAUAUAUCAAUGCUAUAUCUUUUUUUUUUCCAAAUCUCGAGAUAUCGACGUAUCACGAGAUCCUACACUGCCAUUCUAGAUGAAAGGGAAACCCACCUCCAUAUAAAUGUAGCUAUCACACUCAUAAAACUAUCAAACUACCUAUCACAAUCACGAGAAAAAACAAUAAGUACUUUUCAAACAACAAAAGUAAAACUAAACUAAUAAGUUAUGCUGCCCGCCAAACUUGAUUAUUUUAAUUUGCAAAGUCCUUGCAGCAGUCAAAUCGCCAAGCAAACCAGAGAAUUUUUUUUUUCUCUCUCAAAUGUAAUUGGUUGCGAGGUUUAAUUUUCUCCUCGAUGGAAUGCUAGGAAGAAAUGAAAAUUAAUUAAUUAAGGGGUCGUUUGUUUUUCAUUAAGCAGUCUGAAUGAAUGACUGAACAUAAGUGGGUGGACCACCUUAUUAAAUCUCCAGAAGGUUUUUUUUUUUUUUUUUCUUAAAAGGUUCGGUGCUUAACUGAUUGGUUCAUUGAUUUCAGCGCAAAAUUUUGGCAGAAUGAAGCACUAAAUGACUUAAUGUGUAUCAAGAACUCGUAAUUAAAGAAAAAACAAACGACACCUAAGCCUGAUUGUUAAGCUUUUCUUUUGCCUGUUUAUUCCUUCUCAUGAAUACAAGGGUGAAUAAUCAUGCACAAAUUAGUCAAUUGUUACCUAAGACUUUAGUGACCAUUUUGUCUUUCGACCAGUCUUCCUAUCGAUCUUGGCAAGCAUAAAGCUAGUAAUAACUCAAAAUGAAACCUAAACAACUCAAACAAUUGGAGACAUGGCACCGACCAUUCAAACAGUAGUUUAUCAUCAUCAUCAACACCAACAACAGAAGCAGAAGCACUGAUUGCAUGGAAUGAAACCGGCACUAAGGUUGUUUGACAUCAAUUUUGUGACAUUGGAUGACCAUGGUUAUCUCGCCUUGAGUUCAUUGUUAGGAAAACCAAGUUGUACGCACAUCGUCCCGAGUCUGUGUCCUCGCGUCCAUUUGUCAAAAGUAAGUUUUGGGUUUAGGACGUACGUACCUAGUUAGGGCGUACGUACGUCAUGGUAGGCAGCAAACUUGUUUUGGUCAGGACGUACGUACCUAGUUAGAACGUUCGUACGUCCAAGCAGUCAGCAAGUGUUUAUCGUAUGGGGAUGUACGAACGGUGUUUCGACGUACGUACGUCCAAUAUGGAUUUCGUUCAAUCAGGCCCAUUUUCUGUGUUUUCCAACCCUAAGUAUAAAUAGGGUUUCUCUUCCAAACAACAAGGAGUUCUUUGGCCGUCUAGUAUUCUUCUUGUUCUGGAGUUUUGGUUUAGGUUUUGGUAAUGAAAGUGUUUUUGGUUAUUGAACUCAAUUCCCUUCCUUCCCCCUUCUCUGAAUUCAUAAAUCUGUUAUCUUCCUAGUUUCAUUGUGAAUUCGGCUUCGAGUCUUCUUGUGUGUUCAUCAAGAAGUCGAGUGUCUUGUGCGUACAUCAAGGUGCUCUGGUGAAGUCAAGGUGUUAGAGAUAACCAGGAGUAUCAACUCGCAGUGAGUGCAGGUAGUUGAUAGGUUUGUACAUCUCUUUUCAUCUAGUGGAUUAUUUGUUGUCAUCAAGGCAACCUGGACGUUUCCCAUAUUGGGUUUUACCACGUUAAAAAAUUUCUCUGUGUUAUUUACUUUCUGCGUAUUGGUUGAUUUGUUUGAAUAUUCAAUUGUUAUAUUAGCACUAUUUGUAGUUUCUCAAUUGGUAUCAAUCGCUGGGGGCUGGUUAAGGAGCGUAAAGGCUCACACUUACGAUCAAUAGUGCUUUAUGGAACCUCACAAGUUUGCUACCUCAAGUCUUCCUCCACAAUUCAGUGGAAAAGACUUUGGUCAUUGGAAAGUACGGAUGCGAGCUUAUCUCCAAGCAUUAGGAGAAGAAGUCUGGCUUUCUGUUGUCACAGGGUGGAAAGAACCUCUGACUACUACAGGUACUGAUGAUACUGCCGUUACAUCACUGACGCCACGUGAAAAGUGGACAUCUGAACAGAAGCUGUUGGCAAAUUAUAACAACAAGGCACUCAAUGCUAUUUUCAUGGCAUUAAAUGCCAGUGAGUUUCGUCGUGUGCAAGGAUGUGAAGAGGCUAAAGAUGCAUGGAAUAGGCUUAUCUGUACACAUGAAGGUGACGAAACUGUCAAAGAAAGCAAGCUGGAACUGUUAACAUCUCAGUUUGAGAAUCUCCAGGGCUACAAAUUCUGAGACUUUUGAUGAUUUCUUUAUUCGUCUCCAAGACAUUAUAAACUGCAGUGCUGCUAUUGGUCAUGCAUAUACUGACACACAAGUGGUACGUAAGAUAUUGCGUGCUUUGCCUCCUCGGUUUCAUUCUCGUAAGGAUGCCAUUACUGAGAGUAAUGUGAUUAAGAACAUGUCCAUUGAGACACUUGCUGGGAAACUAAGGACGUGUGAGAUGGAACAGGCCUUGGAAGAACCUUUGAAGAACAAGUCUGUGGCAUUCAAGGCUACAUCGUCUAAAGAAACUCCAACAGGACUCUCUGAUGAUGAAGAACAGGCUGUGGAUGAUAACUAUGCGUUUCUGUCACGUAGCUUUCAGAAGAUUCUGAAAUAUCAACAGAAUCGAGACCCUCGAAAGCGAUUUCCUGACUCCUCAAAUGCUCCUAGGAGUCGUGGUUUUGAGCGAUUCUCUGUGGAUGGAAGAAGAGCUCGAGUUGAUCGUAAAGAUGUCCAAUGUUACAAGUGUCGUGAAUAUGGACACUUUGCUAAUGAAUGUGACAAGAAGGUGGAUCGCAAACCUGGUGAUAAUUCCAAAGCGAACCUCACAGUGACGUGGGAUGAUUCAGAUGAAGAUGAGGAUGGCAAUCCCUCAAAUGUUGUCUCCAACUAUGUAGUCUUCAGUGCAUCCCUGGAUGAGCAUCCAGGAGGUAUUGUAUCCUCUACUGAUGAUAUUAAUGUUUCUGAUUCUGGUGUUCAUGCUACUACUAGUGAAUUAUGUGAUAUGUAUAAGUUUUCCAUGCAACAAGUAAAGUUGCUUGAAAAAACUAACACUGUCUUGCAGGAACAGGUAGAUAGUCUUGGGCAGGAUAUAUGUAAUCUUGCAGGUGACUCCAACAUGUUGAAGGAAGAAUUUGUGAAGGAAAAGGAGGAUUUCCAAGUGCGUAUUGCCACUCUGGAAAAACUGAAUAAUGAUCUGGAGACACGGUAUCGAUCCCUUGUAUUGGAACAUGAGAAAGUAAAAGCUGAGUUGUUUGCUGCUAACAAACAAUUGGUUGGGUUUGGUAAAGCCAGUGAUAGUCUAAACUCUCUGCUGGGAAUUGGUAAAUCCCAUUCAGACAAAUCUGGAUUAGGUUAUGACACAUCUGUUCCUCUUUCUACUGCUAGCACCUCCCGUACUACUUUUGUCCGACCAACAGGUGUCGCUUCUCCUGCUCCUGUGCAGGUGUCUGGUGUGGUUUCCCCACCCAAGGUUACUCGUGUAAAGCAUGUCCCGAAAAAGAAUCUUAGACACAGAGGCUUUAAAUGUCUAACCUGUGGUCGUAUGGGUCACACUUCUGCUUUUUGUUGGAACAAUUUGUAUCCUGCUCAUCAUUCUUCUUUUGCAGGUAAUUCAUAUUGGAACAGGUCUUCCACUUUCUCCAUGCAGGCUCCAUACAUGUGGAAUGGCUAUGCUCCGUGGGGCGUACCCAGAACUUCUCCUUAUGGUAAUCGCCCUCAAGCAAUACCCAUGCCUACUCCACCACCACAUUUCUGGGAUAGGAGUAUGGAUGCGUCCAGGAAAAUGGUAUCUCACAUGGCUCGCUUGGUUGAACCAAUGCCUUCAUCAUGGUAUCUUGACAACGGUUGUUCGCGUCAUAUGACAGGUGAUAAGACUCUAAUUGAUAAUCUGACUCUUGGUUAUGGAGGUAAGGUUUUCUUUGGAAAUGGUAAAAUGCUUCCGGUUGAAGGUAAAGGUAACUUUUCUGAGGUUGGAUCGCUAAAUAGUCAUGAGCUUCUUUUUGUUAAGGGUCUUAAGUCCAAUCUCUUGAGUAUUAGUCAGUUAUGUGAUGUUAAGUGUAAGGUUGUAUUUGAGGAUGAUAAGUGUGACGUUUUUUACUCAAAUCAUGUCUUGAUGUUAACUGGUAGUCGAUCACCUGAUAACUGUUUCAUUGUCACUACACCCCUUCCGCAUCUAUAUACCUGAUUUGUCCAUUGGAACUGGUUAUGUUUAGGAUGUUUAGGUUCGGUUAUUUUUUAUUGUUGUCGGUAUUGAGGACAUACUACCUUCUUUAUUGUGUGGAUUCCAUUUUUCAGAUAUUUCUAGUUUGGCAUCUUCAACUGUGGUUUUCCUGUCAUGCAUAAUUGUAGGGUUACAUCAUACUCUCUUCGUCUUGGUAGUUUCUUACAUGAUGCAUUUACAUGUAGUUGAAUUGUCAUUUGUAUACCUGUAUAUCUCCAGUCUUAUAUGGUUUCCUUUCAUGGUCAUCGUUUUUUUUUAUAUAUAUACCUCUUGUAAGUGGUCAAUGACUCACAAAAUCCCCAGCCAUUUGAAUGUCUUGAGAGCAUACUCAUUUGGCUAAGAACCCGUUGGGCCUGUGAGGGUCAUGCUCUGACGGAUGCACUCAGGAGAUGUUAGUUCUUGUGUUGCACGUUACCAUGGUAUUGCACUUCUUGAGUGAAUUUUGCCGAAAAGAUGUAGGCUACACCCUACCCUCGUGUUUUGGUACAAGAUGGAGAUGUUAUAUACUCCCACACGGGAAUGGCAUUUGUCUCACAUGGGUUUAUAAAAAAAAAUAAAAAUAAAGGGGUGUUUCUUUGGUUCUGUAGUGAUCCGGUUCACUUUCACUUUUGUCUAGUUGCAAGUGACUUUCAAUAUAUUCAAUGAUCAUGUUUCUAUUUUGUUUCCGGAUGGUGGUAUAAGUCUAUCUCUUUCUUCUGCAUGCUUGCAUUAUUCUAGUAAGUACUAUGGCUUGGAGUAUGAUGUAGUUCUUCGAUUUUGCAUUUUCUUGUGGUUAAGGUUUGUUUAAGUUGUAAUUCUGCUACAAUUGGAAUCCUUACAAUAAGUAGAAAUGUUAUUUGUGAUGUCUCUCAAUAUUUGUUUUGGGGUCGUUAUUCGGUUUGGUUGUCUGUUUUUAGGAUGGUUCUUCAUUAUAAAAAAAAAAAAAAAAAAAAAAAGAGGAGAGAGUACGUACGUCGUUAGGACGUUCGUACGUUAAGGGAGACAGUACUUUUUCUCCUUGAACGUACGAACGUAGUUAGGGGGUUCGUACGUUGGACAAGGCAGAUGUUUUGUUUUUGGAGUCGACGUACGAACGUCAAAUGGACGUACGAACGUUUCUGCAACAGUUUCGGCCCAUAUGUUAGUUUUUAAACUCAAGUGUUUACAAAUUUUUGCCAAACUGUCAAAUUCAAAUCGUGCUUAACAUUCCUUCAAGCACAAACAAAGGAGUUACCAUAACUUCCUAUCGUGUUCGGCAAAUUUUUCCUUAAUUCCUUCUUUCCUUUCUUUUCAAAUUUUUCUUCUUCUUCUCCUAUAUUCUUUGGAACUUCUUUUUGGUUUCUUUACUGUUGUUGUGGGUGUGUUUGUUUUUGUACUUGUGUUCAUUCUCGACCACGUCAUCUUUCAAGUAAGUAUACUAUCUACUUCUCUCUAUAUACUUGUUGCUUGUUGAUUGUAUGGUUGUUUUGAUUAGUCCUUCAGGUUAGUCUUCACAUGGUUGGGUAUGGGUUGUUAGUUUUGUCAUUAAAAUUGAUUCAUUAGAUAUGGUGCAGCCUCUAUUUGCUAUUGUUUGUGUUUGGUUAUUCUUUAUCCUAGUCUAACAAGUUUAGUGCGAUUCUCACUGCUUGAUUGUUGUCGUUUGCACACUUGAUGAUUCUGCACACCAUGUGUUCGAUAAAAUGUUUACAUGGGUAUUCUCACAUUUCUUGUGCUAGCUUCCCCAUUUCUCUUACGUUUGUUGGUUUGUUUACUGUUGUGAUUGUGCAGACAAUGCCUCCAAAGCGUGCUCGCUCAACACUCGCUAAGGAAACACCUGGCUCUAAGGGUGCAUCCACUUCCCGCACUCAACGGGGUAGAGGUCCCACUUCGGUCUUGUCCCCUCAUCCCACACCCCUUGGUGCUCAUCCUCGAGCCAAGGCUAUUGUUCCGGAGCGCUUCUUCGACUUGGGAGACAUCGCUGCCACCCCUCUAGGAGCGACUCAACUAGGCAACAUAUCUUUAUUCUUUGAGACGAGAAAUUGGUUAAGGGUUGCUCAACCAAUCACUAAGUACUCGGUUGAGCACACGAUUGCCUUCUAUGAAACGAAGACACCCUCUCAGAACCGCUCAAGUUUCUCCGUCCUGAUUGAAGGUAGGAGAUACACUAUCUCUCCGACGGUGAUACCUGAGGCAUUGGGGAUCGAUGAUAAUCGUCUCCCAGAGAAUAUGGUUCAUGUUAGGUGGCCCAUUCCGGAGUCGAUUCAAAUUGACUUUGUCGAUCAAGUUCAGAGGAUGUUCAUCGAUGGUGUCACGGAAAGAUAUCAUGCCAAGUCGUACAGCGCCAUCCUCUUACACAUGGUUGCCCAUAUAACAAUAAUAAGGCAAACAAUAAAGCAGUAAACAAAUAAGGAACACACAAGAAUUUUUAACGUGGUAAAACCCAAUAUAGGAAACGUCCACGGUUGUCCUCGCGACAACAAAUAAAUUCACUAGAUGAAAAGAGAUUUACAAACCUAUCAACUACCUGCAAUCACUGCGAGUUGACACUCCUGGUUAUCUCUAACACCUUGACUUCACCAGAGCACCUUGAUGUACGCACAAGACACUCGACUUCUUGAUGAACACACAAGAAGACUCGAAGCCGAUCUAUGUAACAAGCUUACACCAGAGUUCCUUGAUGAACACACAAGGAUACUCGACUUCUUGAAUUGAGUUCAAUAGCCACAAACAAUUUCAAUAUCACCAACCUAACCAAAACACAUGAAUAGGGAAAAAGGAAGAAGAAGAUGAGUUCAAUCACCAAAACCACCUAAACCAAAACCUAAACAAACUCCAAGACUAGAGAUGAAUUGGACGGCCAAAGAACUGACUUGUUCUUUGGAAGAGAAACCCUAUUUAUACUUAGGGUUGAAAACCAAGGUAAAUGGGCCGAAAUAGUGAAAACCCACUUUGGACGUACGUACGUCGAUAUGACGUUCGUACGUCUUCCACACGAAACGAGCUUGCUGACUACUUGGACGUACGAACGUCCUAANNNNNNNNNNNNNNNNNNNNNNNNNNNNNNNNNNNNNNNNNNNNNNNNNNNNNNNNNNNNNNNNNNNNNNNNNNNNNNNNNNNNNNNNNNNNNNNNNNNNCACCAUACUUGUGACACACGACGCGAAGACAAGGACACGGGACGACGCGCGUACAACCAGGUUUUCUUAACAAUGAACUCAAGGCGAAAUAACCAAGGACGACCAAUGUCACAAAAUUGAUGUCAAACCACUUCGUGCCGGUUUCAAUGGUAUCGUGAGUUUGCCAAGCAAAAUCGAGAAGCAAUCCGAUCACUAAAUCCAUUUCGAAACACCAAUACCAAUACAAUUGUCGCACAAGUACCACCUCCUAAAAAGGGAGAAACAAAUGUCCUACACGAAUUAUCGACUCCAAAUAGAAGGGGGAAGACGCAAAUCGAACCACACAAACCAAUCCAAUGCCAUAACAAAACAAACCAAUUCAUUUCCAAUACCAAAUACCAAAUUGCCAUUUCGUCGGUUCAUCAAACACUUCACAUACCGCACAACAAUCAACGCAAACUACUACUGCAUUCCAAUGCAAACUGCUACUACUGCUACUGCUACAUGCCAAAUGCUAUACAACCAAUGCCGAGUUGCCACUCCCGACAUUUCAUCAAACACUUUCAAGGCUACUAUUACCAAUUACCCAUUACAAAACAGGAAAAAAAAAAUGGUAAAAACCCACCUACAGACACCAACUUCUUCACCCAUUUACAAUCCUAACAAACACCCAUAUACCACAAAGGAAAUAGAACCAAUACCAUCAACUUUCCAUUAACUAGCCUAAACUCCAAUUCCCACCAGAUCUACAUCGAACUACUACCACCACCAUAGUUACUAGUACUCACUACCACACCAGAUUCAAAUCGAACUACCAUCAUCACUGCCACUGCGACCAUCAAAACCUUCACCAAAUUGAAUGCAAACAUAACCAAUUGAUCUUCUACAGAACAUCAAAGAAAAGUUAUACCUUUAGCGGAAACACAACUCAAACGAACACAAUCCAAACUCAAAAAUCAAAAUACAUCACUUUUAACAUUAACUAUAUAC
rnacentral:lncRNA from 1 species